UUCAUUUCGUUGAACACAAAUAUAAAACCAUUACAAAAAAUAUAGCAACAACCACAACAUUUGUUUACUCUCAAGCGACGCGUAUAAAUGACGUGUUCAUAGGCAGAUGAUGAUUAUUGUUUAGACUUCACGAUAGCCAGAAGUUUGCAGCUCACAACAUCUUCGUUGAUCUACAAAUUCGGACCAACUUUAACGGAGAUGUUUUCAAAACUCGGUCUCUGUUUUAGGCGUAAAUAGAUUGGGGUUGAUUUCUUCUUCAAUGGGUUGACGCCGGCUGAAGGUGGUGAGGCUGUGUGUCGGCGAAACGGCAGUGGCUUUCUAGUGUACGAUUUUGGGGAAAAAUGCGUGAGAAAUGUGUUUAUUUGUCUUUUUCAAGUUCUCAAUUUAUGUUUUUUUUCUUAAAUGCAUAUCACCCUAUGAAAAAAUUGUCAACAUCCCUGUACGAGUAGCACAAUUAGAUAAGAAAUAUCAGAAAGAAUUUUGAGACUUGUACACCGAAAUGUACCCGUGUACCGAUCCCUCACAAGAAGGGAAGGCCCACCAUUAAUAAAAGAAUCGUGGAUCCCCCCACUCCCCUUCCCAUUGUGACGGCGUCGGUACGAGUAGCAUGCUCUUACCAGAAAUUGUUGGUUUGCGUGCUUUAUCGCUAGCAGUUAAUAGUCUUCCUUUCAACACCAUACUCCACCCCCACCCCGACGCUCUCCCUUUAAUUAUAAGCUCCCAAAACCUGGUAUAUCAGUAGAUUAUUGAAGCAAGGUUGUGGAAUUUACCAAGAAAUAAGGCAUGGCAAACUCCACUCAGUUGAAAUCCGAAGCCCUCAUGGAGCAAAUGAAACUCCAUAUGUCAACUGACGCAGGCAAAAAGCUUGUUGAAAAAAUUGGCUUGGUUUAUCAGAUCAACAUAGCCCCCAAGGUUUUGUUUUUAUUAAAUCAUUAUUCGAUUAUUUGUGUUGAUAUUUAUGAAAUUCUUGUAAUUAUGUAUUGUGUUUUUCGUAAUUGGCAGAAAAUUGGAUUUAACGAGAAGUCUUUUGUUGUUGAUCUGAAGAAAGGGGAAGUUAAGGAAGGUUAGGGUUCUAGAAACACUUCACUAUUUCAGUUUUUUCGGCUUAAUUUCAAGUAUAUCAACAGUAAUUUAUCAGGAAAUCUGGAAUAUAGCCUCAAAUUAAAUCAUCAAGAUUUAAUACUUCCAUCUACUGGCUUUUUUCUAGGGCCAUACGAGGAUGGGAAGCCUGAUGCUACCUUUUCGUUUACUGACGAUGAUUUUCUUAAGGUUGCCUCUGGGAAGAUGAAUCCUCAAAUUGCAUUCAUGAGGUGCCUUUUUAGUUCGUUUUCUACUUCAAUUUGUAAUUUGGCUGAAUUGAUGUGUUUUGGUGAAUGAAAAUUAUAAUUUCGAUUUAGAUGUGUUGGAUGGAUGCAGGGGUGCUAUGAAGAUAAAAGGGAGCUUAAGUGCGGCCCAAAAAUUUACACCAGAUAUUUUCCCCAAACCCUCGAAGAUGUGAGCGGUCAGGUCACAAUGUACUAGAUUAUGUUCUAGCCAAAAUUUCACACAUUGUUUAGCCGUUUAGGAAGAUAGCAAUGUUAUCAAGUCUGCUCUUGUAUAAGAUGAAAUGGAUGUUUUCUUGUGUGUCUUAGUACUCGAAUGAAGGCGUGCUUUUUAUGAGGAUUUCAAGACACUGAGCCCAUUGAAAUAAAUACUGUCAUUGGUUUAUGUGUUUCUAGCUGGUGUACUUAUGCAGAAAUUGGCUGAUAUGGACAUAUGGUCUCCUUUACAUAUUUUGUGGCAUUCUUGUCUGAGGUCUAAAGUCAAUUUGGAUUAGACAGUUGUUGCUGGUGAUAAUUCUUAUUGAUCCUUGUUUUACAGAUUUGGGAAAAGCCUAUUCCUUAAGAGCUCUUCGGACAUAAAAUUAGACAUAUUAGUGUCUUGUAACGGUGAAUCGAAGUUGAGGGAAGAACAGUAAGGAGGUGUUGCAUGUAAUUCUCUAAUAAUAUGUGCUCAAAAUUGAAAUUGUGAAAUGGCAUACACUCACAUAUGUAAAUUUUGUACUAUCUAUAGCCAAUAUCAGUUUAAUCACCUAUUUUUGUUGGAAAAGUUGCUUUGUGAUUCGUAUGCUCAAGGAUGAUGGAGUAUUGUUAAAGUUCAUUGUCAGUGCUUUUAUCUUAUGAUCUUACUGGAUGUUCACUCCUCGAGAGCUCGUUUACUGGUGAGCAUGCCUUGAGUUGUACGAUACAAUGUCUUUUUUUUGGUAACAUAACUUUCUUUACUAUCAAGAAAAUAAGGGGAUGGCGUCAGUUUUAGUGCAUCAAAUGCAACUAAUUUUUGUCAAAAAUCUAGGCGCUUAAUACUGAACAUGUAAAUUGACUGAGUGAAGUGCCAAAAUGCUGAAAGUCUAGUGCUAAAAGUGCCAUAUCCUCUUGUUGGUUCAGAAACUAGUAAUGGAUGAUGGAUAAGGUUCCGUGAUAUAAAACUCCUGGAUUUUUCGACUGGAAAUAAUAAAUUUUGUUUUCAUGUCAAUAUCGCAUUAGCGUUGGGCCAAUAUUUGUACUUGUAUCAACUUGUACAGGUUUCCUGGGAUUUUCUUCAGCAUGAAAUAAGCUAAAAGUUACUUUUCCUUCUUACUUGAGGAUAAAUUAUGUUUAUGAUUUAUAUCAAUAUUCUGGUGAAAAUGCUAUAUGAGCUUUCAUCUUGGAGCUAAUUUCAGUUUUGGAAAUAUGUUACUGUUUAAUGUGUGGGCUAAAGCUGAAGCUGGCAUGGUGGUGCAGAAGUCUUCAAAUGGCUUGAACAUUUGAUACAAUAUGAAGACAACAUGUAAUGUAUUAGAAGAAUGGUAAAAGCAAGAGCCAGAUCACAGUCCUCCUUUGACAGCAGGCUAUCUUUAUCUUCAACAUUUGAAGCUUCAUUUUCUAGAAAAUGAGGUUUGCAAUCUACCACAUCUAUACUUUGAACUUCGUGCCAUAAGUGAUUCUGGAUUUGACUGGGUUUAGUUUGUAAACAUUUGCUCAGAUUUGGUUCGAGGUAAAUUAUUCUUGAUGCAGGUUUAUUUAACUUCCAUCAUAAUCAAACUUGGAGAAGAUUGAAUCCCUAUAUUUAUAAAAGCAGUACCUAUCAUACAGAAGCUAUAUGGCAACUUGAAAAAAUAAACAAUAUUGUGAGAAAAGAGCAAUUUAAAGGGAAAAAAAUAAAAUAGAAGGGAGACUGGCAGAAAAAACAUGAAUCACUUGCUUUACGAUAAUUAUGUCUGAGAUCACAUCUUUCUUUUAUAUCCAUAUCUAUUAAUGAUUUUGCAUCUAAAAUCCCCCCCCCCCCCCCCGGGGGGGAUUUUGCUGCAAUGCAGUUUUCAGUGCAUCCUUUCUUUCGGCCAUUUCAUGAUUGACUUCCUCCAGCUUAUUCAAGAUCCUUGACUCGGACUCCUUUGCUACCUCAAUUUGGGAUAUGGCAUCAGCCACCCGCAUUUUAGCCUGCUCUUCUGCCUCGUGGGCCCGCUUGCUAAGAUCGUAAUAUUCUUCUAAAGAAAGUGUUAUUCCGGUGGGUGAAUUCUCAGAUAAAUCACUCUCCUGCAAUGCAUUAAUAGCAACCCUUGCCAGCUUCUCUGAUGCCUUAGCUGCUUCUAUUUCCUUUAGAGCCGCUGAUAGUCUACUCUUAACAGUACUUGCUUCUGCUUUUGCUUGUUCUGCUUCCCCCUUUGCCCUCUGGAGUACUUCACGAGCCAUUUGGGCAAGUGCUCGUGCUCCAUCUACCUCUUGAGCAGCUUCUUGUAGUUGCUCGGGGAGUUCAACCAUCUUCUCUUUUUCUUCUUUCUCCAUCCCAACACGAGCCAUCUCUGACUUCAUCCUAUUCAGCUCGGCUUCAAGAGAUGCAACCACAAUCGAUGCCAUUCCUUCCCUCUGUUGAAUGGCAGCAAGUUCGGAUUUUUCUUUUUCCAGUUCCGACUUCAAUGCCAUGGAUGCCACGUUCAAGCAGCUAACUUCAGCUGCUGCUUUCUCAAUGCUGAGCUUCACUUCUCCAAGUUCCUUUUCUGCUGAAACAGCAGCCACUUGAACAUCAUCACGAGUUUUUUUCUCUGGUCUUACCAGUGCAUCUCUCAAGUUUCCUUCCUCAGUUUCCUGCUUUAUUUUCGAUUCCAUAUAAGCUGUCAAUUCAGCUUUUAAAUCCUCUAGUAACGUUGUUGCAGUAUCUAACUUCAAUUUGAGAUCUUUCGCCAACAAAAAACGUUCGUUUAGUUUCUCUAGCUCCUCCUCUGCUCUCUUCAAUUCCUUCUCCCAAUUCAGAGUGUUCUCUUCUUUUGCCAUAACUGCUCCAAUUCUGCAUUCCUCGGCCUCAAGAUGUGCUGCAUGUGCCGACUCCAAAGAUUCCUUUGCAGUAAUGAGCUCGACUGUCAAAACCUCGACCGACUUUUCAACUUCUUUUGACGCAGAAAUGGUUUCUUCUGCCUUCUUGACUGCAGCAUCUUUUUCAGCCACUAACAAUGCAUAAUUUUUCUGUAGUUGUUCCAAUUCAUCUUUAACAAUUUUAAGCUCAGACGCAGCAGCUGCAUGUCUUGCUCUGGAAACCUCGAGCUGUGCCUUGGCUGCAAAACUGGCUUCAUCAGCAAUCCCUUUCUCCAACUCUUCGACCCUUAGUUUUGCAAGUUCCGAAUCCUGUUUUGCUUCUUGUUCUUCUGUAAAUGCUCUUUCCAGAUUAAGUUUCAACUCUUCUACGAGUCUUUCAGUGCUAUCGAGCUCUUUUAAAACCUGAAAUUUUGCAUCUUCAGCAGCCUCGGAUUGUUUCUUGUACAACGGAAUCUCCUCCAGUGCCUUCUCCAGUUCUUGCUCUAUAAACUUUCGUCUCUGCAUGUGCAACAAGACCCACUUAUAAAACUAUAUUAUGAGGUUAUAAAACUAUAAACCCAGUUAAUAGCAACGUAAAGCAAGAUAAAUUAUCUGCAGGAAACAAAAGUGCGAACAUUAAGGAAGAUUAAAAUACAGUUGCAUAUUAGUUUAUAAACUUUCACCAAUUUAUGUUUCUUGAAAAACUGGAAGACAGUCAAAUAUCCGGAAAUUUGAGAAAAUAUAAGAUCCACAAUUUUGGAAUCCAACUCCCAUUUCAAUUAUGAACAUAAGAAAGAUAAUAAAACGUUAAGUGCAUGUUUCAUAGGAAGGUUUGGAUAUUACUAAACCAUUUAAGAAAAAAAGAAGCUAAAAUCCUGUUAAUUAUAAUGUCCAGUCCUAUCUAGUACCGGAUAUCAAACAUGUACUAAGAGAAUUGAAGAAGAUUAUACCUCCUUAGUCUGCACACGGUGGGCUUUCCAGUCAACAAUUCCCCCAAACUUUGAAACUGCAGACUUAACAGAAUCAAAAGGUGCCUUUGUAUCGAUUUGACCAUUCAUAACAGAGUUGUUAGGUUGUCUAGAGUGCUCAGUGCAUAUUGGCGUCUUAUCAAAAUACAUAGGAACUUUGGCAAUAAUUGGGUUAGGGGAUAAAAUGGUAGGUAUAUCGUCAUCUUCUGGAGAUAGCCGCGCAAUAAUUUUGGAUUCUAUAUUCCCUUGUUUAUUAGGCUUAAGAACAUACAAAUCCCCAGAUGGUGCAAUUGAGCCAUCAGAGGUAUCAUUUAGUUGAAUACUAGGACUAUUGAUGAUACCGCUAUCUAAUGAUUGCACUGUAGUGUCAUUGAGCUUUGCUUCCAUUAUACUUGACGAUUGAUCCUUGUCUGAAUGGGAAAAUACAGGUGCGACAGAAAACUCAAGAGGAACAUUGUCUUUAAAAUCUUUAGUUUCCUGCAUUCUGAUAAUAUCCUAAGCAGAGCCAAGUGACCUGGUCAAGGAACCAGAAAGAGUACAUAAAAAAUUAGCUGAAGUAAAAAAUGUAUUAUCUUUUAUCAUCCCUCAGAAGAAAAGUAUAAAAAUAAAAUUGUCUGAAUGGGAAAAUACAGGUGCGACAGAAAACUCAAGAGGAACAUUGUCUUUAAAAUCUUUAGUUUCCUGCAUUCUGAUAAUAUCCUAAGCAGAGCCAAGUGACCUGGUCAAGGAACCAGAAAGAGUACAUAAAAAAUUAGCUGAAGUAAAAAAUGUAUUAUCUUUUAUCAUCCCUCAGAAGAAAAGUAUAAAAAUAAAAUAAAGUAAGUGGAGUUGAUAACAGUGAUAAGAAAUAAAGAUCAACUAAAGGUAAUGUGAAUCAUCUUCUCUUUUUUCACGAAGUUAUAGAGUAACUAUUAGUGUAAAUGACAGAUUCCUGGUGAAAAGCAUUGAAACACAUGUAAGUCAGAAGCAUCAUGAUGAAUAGCAUCUAACUCCACCAAUAUAUGAAAAUUAUUCACGUCUCCUUGGAUUUUAGCUUCUAGAUAAAGUUAGCGGAGGCAGCAGAGCCAGCCUCCGAGCCGUUCAGUCUUAUUAUUAUUAUUAUUUUCCGUAUCAAACUCAGUUUAGUUCCAAAUUUUCUUCUAUUUAUAGAAGAAAAUCGUCCAUAGGGCUGGUCUGGCUUGUAAAGCCCAUGAGUCUACUACCCUGUGCUCGGCUUGGUUUGCUUGGCCAGAAUCUGAGCUUGGUUUAAUGUGAGCUCGAGCCGCCCACGGGCCAAACUCUCAUGAGCCUACCUGUGGUUCAAACUCAUUGACAUCCCUAAAUAACGUAGUUCAACAAAGUGUGUACUUUAUCCAAGUUGCGGAUAACUAGUAAUUGACAUCAAUGAGAAGCUUACUAAAAAUGUGAAUCAAGGUCCAAAAAUAAUAAUAAGAUGUCAUUAUCAAUCACCCCAUUCUACCUACAUAUGCAACCAGCAACAUCUUAAAAUUGAAUUCAUUUGACAACAUACGGAAAUUUAAUAAAAUCAAUUUAAUUUAACUGCUCUCCAAAAUACAAGCAGCCUAUGAAUUCAAGAAGCAGUAUACAGACAGAUGCAUCAGCUUCUCAAAUUUUUAUCCUUCCUCGAUUCUACCAUUAAACCACCUCAUUUAAAAUAUUAAUAUGUUAGAGAGGAAAAGAAAUUUGUAUACGCCUGAACUCCUUGAAAGUUUGAUUCAUUUUUCGUCAAGGACUAGCACAUCUACAACUUUAACAAAAGGGUAAUGGCAAGAUUUGAAUCUCGAACCUCAGCCUGGUUUGAAAUCUUAUUAAACCACGUCGUCUCCAAGUUUACGUGCUACAAAAUUAUUUAUCUAAAUCUUGUCUUCUAACAAAUCCCACCUCCAAAACACAACACUUGGGACAUCUGAAUUGAUGAUUUAUUUUACAUUUUUAUCCAAAUUUACAGAAUCUUAAUACAAUUGAAUGAACAUUCAUUUAAAAAUUCAAGAAAUCGAAAAUAAGAACAAAAACAACUUAAUUGAUCAAAUAUUGAAACAAUUACAAUAAUUCAAAGAUGAGAGAAAUGAAUGUACCAAAGAAUCAUCAGAAGCGAAAGAAUAUUAUGGGUUUCUACUAUUUCCCAGCUUCAUUCACUGCCCAAAAACAGAAAAUUAAAAUUCAAAAUACUAAUAAAGAAAUAUCAAUAUAUGCGUGUAAAUACAUAUUUCUGUAUACACGUACAUUCUUUGAUAAAUUCAUUGGCGUAACUUCGUUUCAGCUUUUGAGUUUAUAUUUCAAGGAUUGGCUUCUCUUUUUUGGGUCAAGAAUAUAUCUGAUUUUUCCAAUUUUUUCAAAAAAUAAAAAAUUGUGGUUCAUAACUUACAUGAAGCAGCGAUGUUGAAUUCAAUGGUUAGAAUGCAAAUGUGGGUGGCCUUUCCUUCAUCACAUUUUAGCGGGUAAAUUUCAUGCAAUGGUCACUGGACUUCCAGUCAAAUAUCAAUUGGGUCCCAAAACUUUAAAUUUGUUUUACAUUUCAGCACUUUGUUUCAUUCCAUCACCUAUUGUGCCUUAACCAAAGAAAUUUAUAUGGACGACAGAAAUACCGUGAUUGAUUUUCCACUUAACUAUCGUGUGACACUUGUGAAACAAAAAUAGUAAAACGAGUGUUAUUGCAAUAACUUUAAAAUAAAAAAGUAAAAAAUGCUAGUUUUUUUUGUUAUUUUAACUUUUUUAUGACAUGGUGUAGCGUCAUUAGACCUGGGCAAAAAAAAUCGAAAAAUCGAUCAUUCCAAUUCGACUCGGUCCGAUUUGACAUUUUUGUUUAAAUAAAAUCAUGGUGGUUUAGUCUGAUCAUGAUUUGAAGUCUCAACCCGUCGAUUAACCAAAUCAACUCAAUACACUUACAUAUUUACCUUUUUUUUUAAGAAAAAUAAAAAAUCAAACGAUAAGGUCUAAUCUCAUAACUAUAUCACGAUUCCCUUCAAUUUAUGAUACUGUCGGUAAGUAAUAGUACUGAAAAUUUUCUUUCACAAGCUCAUUAUAUUAUGCUUAGUCUUUUUUCCUACUCAAACAGUCAGGAUACAUAAUGUAUAAAAAGGCAACAAAAUUUUCAAGUUUUUUGUUGACCUGUCUCCUUAAUUCUCAUUAAUUGGUGUGAAGAAUAUGUAAUUGACACUCUUGAAUGAUCGAAUUUUUGUUCAAAUUAGCUAGCUGCAUAAAAUCGACUAGAAUUGUGAGAUUUUUGUUCGUUCAGGUUGUUUGAAUAAUUUCUCAUUGAAAGCACUCUGAAUUUGGGUUCAUCCUCUAAGCAUUUUUUAAAUUGGAUGCUGAAAAUGAAUUGGUCUCCAUUAAUUCAUCUUGUUAGAGAAUGCUCAAAAUGAUAUGCUGGUCAUUGUUUAAUUUUGUUUGGGUCUGAAAAUGAACUGAUAGUCGUAGUUGUGAUAGGACAUUAUUGAAUUAGCGUUGCAGACAUUAUUAUGUUGCUGAUUACAUUGUAUAAUUUCUGUACACAUCAACUGAGUACUUUUAAUUUCUGCAUGAAAUCUAUUCUAUAUUAUACAUUAUGGGUCGAUUUUGUUUGUUUGAUUUUAUAGGAUAAACUGAUAGGUGCAAGAGGGAAGGGAUCACCGAGCGAUAAAGUGUGUGAAGAACAUCAAAUGUUGUGAAGAUUUUGUCAAUUGAACAGAAUAGCUGAUUAAUAAUUGAACCGAAUGGCAGCUUCUUGGGGCUCAUUUGCUGUGAAGAUUUUGUCAAUUGAAAUUGGCAAAUUUUUGUUUUGUAUGUUAAAUGUCAGCAGAUAUUAGAGCCUUUCUUUUGAUUCACAAUUGGUGUCUUGUAAUGAGAGCGAAGUGUUGCAUGUUUGUAAAACUUUCUUUUGACAUCUCAUUUGGAGUCUAUAUGUUUUGUUAAUGUAUUUUAGAUGUCCUCCAAUGAAUUUUGUAGUCUUUUGUAAGUUUGUUGCUGGCUGUAAAUUUUAAACUUUUGACAAGGUAUUGUGAAUUGGGUGUAGGCCUUUUGAUGAUGGGAUAUCAAUGAAAUACACUGGUUUUUGUCCAUGGCAAUAUUCCUGUUAUUUAGAACUUCUAAGUUUGGUGCCGGCUGUACAUUUUAAACUUUUGACAGGACAAUUUUUGUAUACCCACAUUACCUGUCCAGUUGUUGAAAUCACAUGUAUUAGUGAAAGAUUUUUUGGGAUUUAUUUUGUAAUCAGAUUUAGGUAAGUAGCUUUAUUUUCUGGGGCGUGUUGGACGUCCAAGGCCUAGCCAAGAAGUUUUAUCCUUAUUUUCUGGGAGUCCACAGAAGAUAAAGUCGUGACAUGUAAAUGUGCAUCUUCCAUUGAAAAACUUAAAAAACUGCAAAGAAUUAUAUACUGUUCUAACAGCAAAAGGUUAACAUCCUUGUUCACAAAACAAAAACUACAAUAUACUUUAAAUCCCAUAUCCACAUUGAUGUUUACACAAUCAGUCCAUGCGUUGAUGUUUACAAAAUCAGUCCAUGCGUUGAUGUUUACAAAAUCAGUCCAUGCGAUCAUUUUCUUCAUUUUGUCUUCUGCCUGUGCAUGGAUCUUCCAACCAUCAGGGUAGGCAUGAACUGCAUGGGUUGUUCUUCAACUGGGUUUUGGGUCGAAGCAGGUCCCUUACCUCUGGAUGAGACCAGUUUACCCUGGAAUACAAACUAAAUGCAUUAGACCAUUAUACCCAACAUUAUAAAAAAUAAAAAAAUAAGCAAAGGUAAUGUAUAACUGGGCAUCCACUACAGUCUCUCAGUAAACAUAUCAUUGAUCAGUCAUGGAAAAGAAUAUCUGCUACAUCUAAAUGUUAAAAAUAAUAUUUCCACUUGGUUAAAUGUUAAUGGCAAGAUGUAAGAAUGAAAACCCAGAAAAUAAUAAAGUCACUUCAUUUUCAACUUCCAAUUUCAAUAAAUUCAAUAGAGUUGAAAAUGAAAGAUAAUCUCAGAAUUAUUUUUCGGUUGAAAAUGGCAGGAUCCAGUAUAAUAUUUGCUGCAGUAACUGAAUUAUUUUUCAGGCAUUGUAUAAUCUGGGAAUAACCAUUUACUACAGAACACCAUAUACACCAAGACACAACACCAAAACAUAUAUAAUAUGCUAAAAGUGUACCCAAACAGGGGCAGGAAAAAGAACUAGUUACCAAAGGUAUGUUUCAAAUUCAAUCCAAACAUGUUUUUGUAUAAAAAAAACAUUUACACUCAAUCAAGAUAGCAGUAUAAGCUUAAAGAGCAUGUUUGGAUACCAACAAUACAGAAUGAUUAUCAGUAGUAGCUCCCUUAGAGAUCAAAAUUCUCUGAAUAUAAUUCAAUAACAUUACAAAAAAGGGGGCCGGCUGUUCAAUGUAUUUCAUAUUGUUGUAUUUCAUAUGCUAGCAAUAGAUUGCCAAUCAACUUCAACUUCCAACAUAAAAAAUUGUUCAUUCUCAAACCAGGCAAUAAAUUCACAUUCAGACCAUUACAUGGAAGUUCAGGAUGUUAAUUCUUCACCUCUUUCGCAUUUUGAAAACUUUCACCUGCCAGUAUGUGGGUUCGUGUGCACAAUCAGUAUGUAGUUGCGAGGAAGACGAGGAUGACGAGACGACCUACGUCUAAUGUAACUGUGAAGGCGAUGAAGAUCUGCCAAUUUCACCAAGUGUGGAAGAAUCGAUUUGGGGGAGGAUUUUGAAGGAAAUCAAUCUAGGGCUGUGUGUUCAAAUUAGGGAUGAGAGACUUAUGGAUUGGGAAAUGGUGAAGAGGAUCUUGUUUUGGCUGUCAAAUCGCAUCCACCAUGGCCGAGCUUGACGCCGUCGACAACCACGUCGCCUGCCGUCAAGCCACAUGAGACGGGUUCAAACGGCUGGGGCAAUGGGUAAUGGAUAGAGUGGUGUGUUUGUAAGUUCAGUGACCGUUGAGCAGCAAAUGAAAGUUCAGUGACCACAUUAUGGCAUUGUGCUAAGUUUGAUGAUUAUUGAAACAUUUUACUCGUCACUUGACCCUCCAGCUUUUUCCUUUUUUUAUUUUUUUUUUGGCGGGCUUAUUAUGAAAUAUCAAACGAAAUUGAAAUAUUAUAUUUUUUUAUAUCAUUUUGACGUACUCACGGCCUAGUAUUUUACGUCGUGAAUGUUGUGCGAAAUGACCAAUGGUAGCAAAUGUUAUGGCGUGUCAAAAUAGGUUGUUCCAAACUAAAUAUUUUGAGAAUUUCGAUAACAAGCUAGUUUUAAAAAAAAUUCGACGAUUAUACGCUAGCCAUAUCCAUAAAUCUUCUAUAUUUUCUCGAAACUCAUUUCGAAAAUUAUAUCAUAAACACAUUGAAUGAUCUAAAUGAAUAUCGAAAAUAGUUAAACGUACGUCAAACGUGUAUGCUAAAAAGAGACGUAUAACUUGUCUUUUUUGAAAAAAAAUUAAUUAUUUCAUUAAUAUUUAUUAUUUUUGUGCGACAAAUUUCUCAAUAUAAUUUACAUCAUUUUAUUAGGAAAAUUCAUAUAGGUAUGACGUCAAAAUUUAUUUUUUUGGACGUAAAAAUUCUUAAUAAAAUUCUUUUUAAUUCACAGGAGUUUUAAAUUGUUAUACUACUUUUUCAUUUUGAUUAUUUUUAUAUCUGAAAAAAAUUUUAUAUAUAAAAAAAUUGAAUCAAUUUUAGGAUUUUUUUUUUUUAUUAUUGUUACAUUUUCCUUUCGAUUAAUUAAAUUUUUUUUCAAAUGACGUCAAAAAUUUAUUAGGAAAUUUAUUAGAUUAUUUUUUUAAAAAAAAAAUAAUUGAUUGAAAGCAAAAAGUAACAAUAAUAAAAAAUCCUAAAAAUGAUCGAAUUUUUUAUAUAUAUAUAAAUUUUUUAUAUGUAAAAAUAAUUAAGUUGAAAAAGUAGUAUAAGAGUUUAUAACCCACAUAAAGUAAUAAAAAAAUUUCGUCGCUUUUUCUAAAAAUUUGAUUGUGACCCUCUAAUGUAAAAUUUCUGCGUCCACCCCUAAUUCAAUUACUGGUUGAACCAUAUGUUGGAGAGGAAAAAACUUUUCUUUGUUCAACCAAUCUAAUAGUUGUUGAAUGCUAGACUUAUUAAUUUAUCUAGUAAACUACUAAGAGCUCAUAUAGUCCAUACCAAAUGUCGUUGUGACGAGGAAGACCAUACCAGGGGAAAUACCAAUCAAAGUCCACUUUGGGAGACUCACCUCGUACAUGAUACAUUCUUAUCAAAUUGAGCCCAUGGCUUCUUAUAAUGCCAUGAGGUGAUAAUGGUUGGGAGGCCCGCUUUUGACUUUAGAUGAAACUACGCCAAGACUUUUCGAGUUAUUUAGUAAGUUAUGCGACUUCUAGAGGUUGUGAAGGUGCAAAUUGACUUUCAUUUCAUUUUUGUCAAAUGGGAGGAUGUGAUGACAUGGACACUCCAUUGGCUUGAUCAUCAAGUCAAUCAUGGCAUUCACGUGGCUCUACAUGAGCUGCAAGUGUUCAUGAAAUGAUAUUAACAAUUCAAUCAUGCUAUAAGUAUAGAACAAACAAUACAUGGCGAGAAUUGAUUAAAGAUGGAAAAAGAAAAUAAAAAAACAAUCCAAACAUCUGUAAUCACCUGUACUCAUAACUUUUUCCAUUAACAAUUACGUGAAAGAAUGUUAAAAUACUUGCAUUAAUUUUUCUUCAAAUCUAUUUGAUUCAUCAUAUGCUAACAUUUUUAUUUUUAUUUAUUUUUAUUUAUUUUAUUAUUUUUUUUGCUUUUUAGGUAUACCUAAUUAAUUGGUUUGCUCAACUAAUACUUUUUGUUUUCAAUUCCUUUCAUUAUCAUUUCCAUUUCUCGCCUCCAACAAAUCAUUUAUCAUUUCUCCAAUUAAUGUUUUGCUUAGUUAUUGUCAACAUCUAUAGGCUAACUCUACCUGAAAGUAAAGCCAAAAUUCAGGCAGCUAAUAAUUAUUGAAUGCCAUAGAACUUGCGAAUUUACUCUUCCGGCAACUAUAUUCAAGCUUUAAAUUUAGGACAUUUACGUGCAAGUAAUUGAUACUUUAAUAACUAGAUUAGGCAUUGAUCUCAAUAUAUCUAAACUUUGGAAUUGAAACAGCAUAUCUUAUCUUGAUCGUUGGACAUAACAACACGAUUAAUAUAGGGCAUGUUCAUUAGGGAUUUUUUGACCGUUAGGAAAAAAGUGAGAUCCACUUGUGAGAAAAUAAGUCAAAAAUUAUAGCUGAAAUAAUGAAAUAAUGGUCAAAAAAUCAAUUUUUUUGGGUGAAAAAUCACUCCCAAACAGGGCCAUAAUGUUAAAGACAAAAUGUGAGGAUAAAAGUAUUUGAAUUUGAAAGAGAAUGAUGUCUAAUGCGCGUAAUAGCAUGUUUUAGUUUAAAUAUGUAUAGUAUAAUUUCUUCUACAUAUCCAUAUUUGAUUAUUUUAAUUAUAUCUGAGUUCUAAAGUCACUAUCUUGAUAUCAAUAUUUUUGUACUUUAAAAUUGUUUAGAUGUCAAGUCUUAAUUGUGGCUAUCCUUUCCGGUGCACAUAGUCGAGUGACUAGUCGAGUGACUAUCAAUCAAUAACUUCCAUUUCACACCUUCAAGUCUCGAGCUAAAUAUCACGAUUCCAUUAAGUUUGAUUUAACGAUAUAUAUUAAUAAGAAAAUCUUUCUCAAUAAGAAGUGUCGAUAAACAUCUCUUAUGUAUUAAAAAAAAAACAAAUUUCUAAAAUUAUAACACAUAAAUUAUGACAACAACAAAUCCCGUAUAAAUUUCUCUGUCCAAAACACUACGAACAACAUUAACAGGACGUCAAGAACAACGGAAAAGAAUCCGAAUUCAAAUAUAUCUUCUUGGAUCAGUAACAUUGAUUCUCCAAUGUUCAUCAUGUAAUCUCAUUUUUCUUGCUUUCAUCCUAUCCCAUUCCAAUUCAAUCUUCCUCUUCUUUGUUAAACCACAAAAUUCCUGCAAGCUUUGGUCCAUGAUAUCAUGCAGUUUCCACCACCGCACGUGCGCGACGUCACUGGCGUACACUUGCUGAAUUUGUAAGUCCCAAUUACAAUCAUAAUCCCUGUAACAUUGCCAUGGCUUUAACCCUAGAUAAUGUAUCGAAUAGAGCUUCGGAGGAUCCGACCCGAAUAGCUGGUUCUUCACACUGGCCUCGAUCGAACUGUUGGACCAGAAAUUUUUCAGAAAAUUGACUCUUCUCGGCAAUCGAUGCCACCAGACGAACACUUCGUUGAGAAAUCCCUGGUCGCCGCCGUUGUAGGAGAUGAUGUCUUUACGAUGUCGCAUCAACAUCUUGAAUGUGCAAUUCGAAGGCUCGAUCAACAUUAUACCCGAAUUGAAUAUGGAUCCAUCGUUCCCAGUGGCUGACAUUUGGGGGAAAUUGAAUACGAUAUCCAAAUUACGUAAUACAAUGAUAUCUGAAUCUAUGAAUAUGAUUUUAUCGUAAUCGGUGAGCUGCCAUAGACGGAACUUGCUGUAAUUGUAUUCGUUGUAGGUGUAUCUCUCGGCCUUUGGGUUUCGUAUCCGUUUGAUGAAUCGGAGCUUCCACCCGGCACGGGUAAGAGCGGCUCUUUUGGAUUCGGAUAUCGAUUUGUCAAGGAGGAGGAUUAGGUCGCGUUUGGUUCCGGUUCGGAGGAGACUUUGGGCUAAGAUUAUUGCACCACAAACGUAGGUUUCCGAGGAAUGGAGAAUCGAAGCAUAGGCUUCUCGUUUGUCAAUCCCUUUGUUGCGAGAUAUUUUGGAAACGUCGAAUAUUUUGUCGACACCUGCAAUAAAUAUUUCAGUCAUGUUAACAAGACUUGCAAAGGAAAUGACAUGUAAUUGUCAAUUGCAUCGAAGGGAUAUUCUUAACUAAUAACGGGAUUUUUAAUGAGUCAAACUUAUUUAAAAAUUUAAGUUGCUAAUAAAUGGAUAACAUAAGUUGACUUGACAUGCCUUUUGAUGGGUCAUUGGGUCUAAGUAUGUGUUUUCUUGGUUUUUCAUGUUAUAUUUUUAGGUAAAGAGAGAGAGAGAGAGCCGCUUGCAUAAAUAGAGAUGGUAACGGGAUUGAGCAAGAACCUUCUUGUCUUUUAACCAUCCUAGCUUAAGGGGAUGUAGGGCCCGAUCAGGAUAAACUAAGCUGAGUUGACCAAAAAUUGUUGACAGAAGUCUUGACGUGUGGGACCUACAUGAAAGAAAAAUUCCAAAAAAAGUAGCCUCCACCCCCUUAUUGUGACUAUUUGGUCAGGGAGACUGUCAACUCCUCCUUGUCUGUAUAGCAAAAUGAGGUCAAUAUAAAUAAGUCUCGCAUGCUCAAGGUGGGCCCAUGUCUCCCGUCCCUGACUUGGGGAGAAACCCCCUACUGCACUUCCGCCUCAAUAACGCCAUUAAUCAAGGAAACCCACUCCCCUAGGGUGGGACACCGUGGGGUUCCGAGUGGGUGGAUUUUUCCGUUCCUAGGCAUAGAUGGUCCACUUGGGCUUUAGAGCGAUGCUUGCCCCACAAGCUUUUUCAUCUCUACUUACUGGAUAUGAGAGAAAUUUAUAUUUAUGUUCUGUUUUUAGCACAAUAUGCACACUCUUUUUAUAUUAUAGUGCUUGUUUGGUAGAGAUUUUGAUAAUUGAUUUUUUGACUGUUAGAAAUAAAUUGGGUCCUAUCUAUGAGAGAAAAAUUCAAAAAUGACGAUUGAAAUAGUGAAAUAACGGUCAAAAAAUUGAUUUUAAUUAGAUUAAUAGCUAUACCAAACAAGCUCUUAACAAAAAUAUAACAUGUAUGAAUUUUAUAAAUGAGUGACGUUGAGACUUUAAUCAUUGGAGGCAUUAGGGAUGGGUUGUUUCUUUUAUGUUGUGUUUAUUACCCUGAUAUAUAAUCAUUUUGUCAUCAUCCGUCUAUGGUUGUACGACAGAUGAAAGGUGCAACUUACAUUUUUAGAAUAGUUAACAAAGGACCACAAGCACCAACCUUUGAAAUUAGCGAUUAAGAAACCAAAGAAGACUAGGUUUUUCCACCAAGCUUAUAAUAUUGAGUAGGAAUUAAUAAUGGAAUCACUUUCCUUCAGUUUUAAACUUACUGGGGUGUUGAAAAUGAGGAUGCUCAGAUGGACGUGGAAAUACUUACAUAUGUUAAAAACUCGAGAUAAUGGCGACUGAAGUGGUUAGGAUGUGUUUUGCGUAGAAGUAUAGGAGUUCUUAUACAUACAAGUGAUGUAAUCUCAGUAAAACAUGUUAGAAGAAUUGGUUAAGAGCGUACCUUUUCCCCAUAGUGGCAGAGCCAAAUCGCAGGAGCCAAUAGGCAAAGACACCUUCUGCUCCAAUUUCGCCAUAGAUGGCGUAUAAUACCACCAGAGCUCCCCUUCUCCUUCUCGUCUUACCAAAUCAUCACACCGAAACAGGUCGACCAUUGGCAUGCACUUGCUCAAAAACACAACUUUUGUCCUCUUUUGCCAAUCCCUUAUCCCUCUUUUCACAGCCAAAUUUGCUGCAAUCAAAUGUACUUGAAGCCUAAACACAUCCCUAUUCCACCCUUCUUCAGGAAUCUUGCAUGGCAAUUUAACGACUAUCAUGUCCAUAUAACCAUACUUGUCAAAAUCUGGCAUUGGAAUCAUAGGGCAUAAUGGACCUUCUAAAUCUUCUUCUUCAUCUAUCCAUUCUGGAAAUAAGUCCUUCCAUUCAAAGUAAUCAGACACUUUUUCGAAAAGGAUUGGUGUUGUAUGGCCAUAUGCUUUCCAUUCAGUUGUGUCUUCAUCCUCCAUGUUCACCAUUCCAAUCUUCAUAUUUUUGCCUCUCCCAAUUAUGUCAUUUAGAAAACUAGGUGUCUUCCUCUUGAUCAUCGUCUCUCGAAGAGUCUUCGGUUGAUUUGCAAGUGGCUCUUCCAAAACCGCUUUCAUUUUAAUGGUGUUUUCUGUCUAAAAAAAACCCAGAUUGGGAUAUAAGUCAGAAAUAGAACUAUUCAACUUAAUUCGUUCAUGAAACUUGAACAGAAAAAAAGAAAAGCCUAAUGGAUCUUUUUUCUUCUCUUCUUGGCUAGCUUUUUUGGGGGCGUUUACAAAAAGAAUAAGCCCUCGCAUUAAGCUGCCCGGCCCGUAGAAUGAGUCUUUCUAUCAAGGCGCAUUACCUACACAACGCGAAUUAUCUCACCUUACCUUCUGAUGGCACUCACGCAACGAGCAUGUAAUGAUAGACGUGGCGUGCUGGUGAUAUACCAAAACCGAUGGCCAAAGGAGAAGAACUGCAUAGGUGAUGAAAGCACAAGCUAUGAAAACCAGGUUAAUUUUGACAAUAAGAGCUCUUGAAGAAGGGGAUUUUAUCAUCCUCUUGAACAGCAUUGCAUAAGGAAAUAUACCCACAAAAGUAAACUCUAAGGUCCUAUGCAGCUAAUUUAUAUAUCUAUAGCUACUCUUUCAAGGUGUACAAAUUUAUGUAUAAGGGUAUUUUUCAAGCCAAGGGACUAGGAUGGUAUAUAUAUUGUUGUUAGAGCCCAGAGGCAUUUUUGGGGGGCUAAAGUUGCAAGAGAAAAAAUAUUUGAAGGAUUUAAGACCGCUUAAUGAGCUCCAAGUGUCACCAGCUACAUUGUCUUACCUUAAAGACAAAAGGGUUGGAGCAAGAGAGUUUACUUGUUGACAUAUGGGGCAGUUAGGAAUUUUAAGAGAAAUAUUUCUUGAAUUUCCAUUAAUAUCCUUCCCAAUUUCCAAGACUUGGAUGUGCAAAAACCUUUUUUAUGUUAUUUUUUUAAAAAUAUUUUGUCAAAACCAUAGUAGGUUACUACUAAUCAAGUAGUUUUUGUACAUACUUAGUUCCAAAAGUAUAAAGACAUGUUUCGUAUGACAGUUGAUGAAAAAGCUAAAAUCUUGUACGUUAUAUUAUUCAGUAUGCUAAAUAUGCACUGAUGCCUAAGGUUAUGUUUAGUACAUUCAUGUACAUGAUAAGAGUGAACAAGAUUAAGGAAAAGAGAUCUUGUGACGAAAUAUGUCAAUUGUGUAUUUCAAACAUAUUCCUUUAUCCAAUAUUUCUUACCAAAACAUAGUGUAAUAAAUUAUAGAAGAAGCAAGGGAGAAAAUGGUAAAUUUUGCUAUGCAAGAAAUGGUAGGAAUUGCUUGUAGAAAUCUUAGAAGGGAUUGACAAUAUUGCCAACAACUAUAUAGUUGUCCUGUCAACUUCAUUCAUGCAUAAGAGCCUCUACCAACUUUGGUUAUUUUAAAUCAAUUAAUAAUCAUCUAAUCUGAUCAUGUUUAAAUAAAGCAAUAUGUUUUUGUUGUGUCAGAUAAAUAGUCACACCAAACCAGAACUGUUGUAAUGUUUAGCACAAUUAACCAAACUCAUCAAAUUGUAUGUUACACAAUCACAUUAAUGCUAUGCUGUACUCAACAUCUAUUAUUUGAUGAUUUAAUUAAUUACCAUCACAAAUUGAGAAUGAAAGAUUAUGUUUUAGUAUCAACAUCUGGCUUUGAUUUGUCAUAUUGUUGGGAAUGGAUUAAUCUUAAAGCCAAGUUAAUUUGUACAGAUAUUAAUUGGUAGUUAAGCAAUACUUAAAUAGGUAUUGUUUGGAAUUUUAUUUUUAUUUUUAUUUUUAUUUUUUUUAUGCUUAUAAAUCGAUGGACGAUAAUUAAACUUUAUGAACAUCGCGUUUGUUUUUAAUAGACUAUACUAUUCUAUAUUUUAACAUCGUGUCAAUGGUCAAAAUGAAUUAAAUUAUGUUUUAGUUAAAAAUUGGAUUUAACAUGAUACAUGUGGAUGCUUGAAAUAUAUAAAUCAAAUUGCGCAACUAAGGAUAAGGAGAUUAGCGUGGUCGGACCCCUUCCGCUUCUCCUUAGUUGACUUUCGAGAAUUCAAUCGGAGAACAAGCAGUCUUGUUACUCUAAGCAUAGGGAAGAAGAUUUAUAUGUUGUUAUCAACUUCAAACGAAUGCUAAAUCAAUUUAAUUAAGAAAUGCAAAAAAGAUGAGGCAAGCUUGAGAAGAGGAGGGAACAAUCAAGAAAGAAGUUGUUACUCAAACAUAUAGAUUAUUUCAAGAUAAGUUAGACAUAAAUUAAAAUUGAGAGAAGCUGACUAACGCUCUGCCUUUGUUUCUCGUGCAUGAAUACUAUAAUUCGGUGGGAUAAAAUCAUAAAAUAUGAAACUCAAGCGAUUUGUUUAUGCAAAAUGCUUCUGCCCAUCAUAUUAAUACUAUAUAAUUAAUUUACAGAAAAGGGGCACACGGGCCUGCAAUCUAUAUAUUUUGUUACUUACUUAAUUUUAUUUUAGCUGUUUUUUCCUUUUUCAGCUAAAAUAAAUAUAGUUAAAGCUAGGGGAUAAUGCUUAAAUAUAAUUAUAUUUUCUUUGAUCUUUAAUUUUUGUAGUUGUAACCGUUAUCCAAUAUUAAGUUUAAAAUUUUUCUUAAUGCAAUUUAAGGGGAAAAAAAAAUUAAAGAAUGAAAAUUUUUCUUCUUCUCAAGAUUUUUGCAUAUAUGCAUAUAGAUGCUUAAUGAUAUAUUUAUAUUUAAUUAUUAAUUUAUUAAUCAUGUUUUUGCAUUGGAAUGUACUUUGUACAUCCUAAACAAUUCAUGUGCCAAUUAAAGUUACUUAUAAUAUGCUAUAAUUCAAUUAAACCUAGAAGACAUUAUAUGAUAUAUUUAUUUUAUAAUAAGCUUAUAACAUUGUAACUUGUCACUUUUAGGUAAAACCUACACUUUUCCUUGGAAACAUUUAAAACUUUUCUUUAAAAAAUGAAAUACAUUCAUUCUAUCUAAUUAUAAUUGGGUGGGUAAUUUUUUUUUUUUUUGCAUUUUUUUAUCAUCACAUGGGGCUCGUACAACGUUAGAUUUCUAGCCAAUUUCUGUUAAACAGUGUUCUGUACAUGCAGAAUUUUGGAUGAAUUUUUAUGUAUGAAUAUAAUUGUGGAUUAUUGCUAUGUGGUAAUUUAUGCCGUAAAAAACAAACGAACGAUUAAAUAAAUGAAAGGUUUAUAUUUAUUAAAUAUAAACUUAUUUGUUUUCAAUGUAGGAUUUUAUUUAAUUAUUUUAUUUUUUUUAUUUCAAGAUCUAUAAAUGUGAUGUAUCCUUUUUGUUUCCAAGUAAAAAAUGUUUUGUCCAUUUGAUCCUUCUAAAGCAAGAAAAUAGGUUGAUAAGUAAUUUCUGAAUUAUUUGAUUGUCACAUGGUUAAGAGACUAACAUCAUGAAAAUAUAAUAGAAACUUGAAAUAUUAAUUUAAGUUAAGAUGCUCUACUUGAAAGCAUCAUUUAAACUUAAUCUAUAUAUAUAUAUAUAUGGUGGUAGAACUUUCCUUAGUACGGAUACCAGUUUCUCUUUGAAAGUGUCUUCUAAGGUCGUUUUGAAAAUAAAAAUAUUCUUAAUCAUCGUUUGUAUAUGGUCCGAACCAUAAUUCUUCACAAAGUGGUCCAGGCCUAUCAAGCUGGCCCAACCUUAAGUAUGAAAUUUGUUCCUUCAAUUAUGUAUGUAAAAAUAUAAAUUGAAUUGAAUUUAAAUAGUAGGUAUAAGAAGAGAUAUAUUUCAUGAAUAAGACAAAACGUAUAUUCUCAGUUGAAAGUCGCUAACCACUGAAUCGAUCGAAUGACGUAAAUUACAAUGUAGAAUUCACAUAUGAAAUCCCUCAAAAUCAUCACACAUAACCAUCAAAAAUUGAACCAGACGUUAUCUUUUGAUACUAAAUAAAUGGUUCACAAGCUCGAAUCUGAUCAUCAUGCUCUAUUCUCAAAUCUUAGUCAUUGCAUAAAAGAAUACUUGAAAACUUGUAUCAUUAUGGUCAAGUCCCUGAACAUUAUAUUCCAUUUGGUGUGCUUUGGCAAAGUUGGAUUAUGUGAACAACCUUAUCAAAUGAUCCUAAAUUUCCUUAGAAUUGUGUACCAUUAGAGUGUUCAUCACAUUUGUAUAUCCAAGUCAUAAUUUUGACAUUGUUCAUGUCCAAAAUACGAAACAUUUCAGAAAAGUUUUCAUCUUUAGGAUCCUUAGGUUUGGUCUCAAAGGAAUUGCGUAAUUUCGCAUUAGUUUAUCCAUCAAAAAUUCUUCAUCACACAACUCCAAUAAGAAAUUUUUUUUCCAUCUAAUUUCAUAUUAAUAAACUUGAGCGUAUAAUCUUUUGCACCCACCAUCGUAAAAACUGAACCAACCACAUAAGAUUUCAUAUAAAUGCUAAAUCCCAAAUAGAAAUCAAAUCCAAAACUGAAACAAGUAUUUUUCAAUUACGUACGAAAAUUCAAACUGUCAAAUCUGAGAUUAAGGUAAGUAAUGAUAACAAUAUCAAAAGAUUAAGGUAAGUGAUGAUAACAAUAUCAAACAUCAAUUAGUGAUACUAUAGUUGGAUCCACUAGACCUAAUGCUAUCGACACCUCUUCCUUCACGCCAUAAAAUAAAGUUUUCAUAUUGAUCGAUGCUUUGAUACCUUGCGAAUCUUGAACAAAAGGAAACAAGAGAGAUGUAUGUAUUACAAGUUUUUGUUCAUGGUAGAAGCAUUGUGGUUGAUAGGUUUUUAUUAUCGAACAUAUUUUUAUGAUUAUUAAUGCAUAAACCAACCAACCAACCAACCCGACCCAACUUGACCAAAAUUUAACUGGAUUGGGUUGAAACACAUGAAUGAGUUGGAUGGGUUUGAUUUUAGAUCAAAUCGAUCGUGUUGGGUUGAAUAAAAAAUCGAUCUAAUCCAACCCACGAUCACUCCUAAUAGUGGUAGUAUUUGCAAGCCACAGAGGAAGAAGCAAGCAAUGGAGGAUUCUAGGUUUAAUCUCCAAGUAGAAGAAACGGCAGCCUCACUCUUGUAUGGUUUUCUCUCUUGCAAAAUAUGCCCUCGCGCGCACGGCUGUUGGAGGGAAGGGUAUAUAACAAGCCAAUUAGGUCGUUUCCAAUUCGGUCAAAGGUAAUAACUGGGCUAAAGACACAGCCAAGAUAAAUGGGCCAGCCUAAUACUACCAAUCCAAUCCGCAAAGUAUUAGGACACGAGAAACAUUAAAUUAAUUAAACUGCUUUUAGUAGUUCAAAUUAUUUUCGGGUCGAGUCAUCACUAAGCUGUCGAUAAAAAUUAGAGGAAGUUACAGCAAAGCCGGUGUUUAAAAAUCACAAUUCUAAAAUCAGGUGCAAGGUUUGAUAAUGCAUAAAUCAGGUACUAAACCCUAAAAUUAAAAUUCCCCUUUCCGUCUGUUAAGGGAAUAAAUCCUACAUCGAUUAAAUAUCGAAAUAUUGACCAACUUAAAUAGAUUUUGGGUCACUCCUCUUAAUAAGGUUGACUUUAUUAAGAUGGACCCCAAAUCUUAACAUGAUAUCAGAGUUCAGUAAACUCCAACGAGCUAUUCGAUCUGAUUAAGUCUCAAAAAUGAGCACACGAAUUUCAAAAUUGGUUUGCUCAAAAAGAGCCACCAUCUUACGGGGGCAUGUUAAGGGAAUAAAUCCCACAUCGGUUAAAUAUCGAAAUAUUGAUCAACUUAAAUAGAUUUUGGGUCACUCCUCUUAAUAAUGUUGAUUUUAUGAAGAUGGACCCCAAAUCUUAACACCAUCCUCUCAGUCUCUGUUUCUCAUUUUCUCUCUCACGUCUCUCAUAACCACAUGUGCUCUCUACCAUCUCCAUCAUCGGAGACCACCUCUACUGGUGAUGAAAAUUCUGAGCGCUGCUCACCUCGUCGCGACAGGCUUCGAUGCUGUGGCUGUUGCAAAAUUUGAGUGACGCUUGCCUCGUCGUGACGAGUUUCAGUGCUGCGACUGCUGCAAGUCGUCACAGCAUCGAUCUGAGGUGUUGAUGGUUUGGGGUGACGUGGUAGUGAUGUUGCAGUGUAGUGGUAGAGUGGUGGUUGUUGGUACUGGUGUUGCGGUGGUUGGGUGAGUGGUGUGGUUCUACGGUGCGGCGGUAUUUUACCCGUUCGUGGUGUUCCUCUGGCGUGAGUUAGGUAUGAUUUUUGUUGGUGGCGGUACUGCCAUAGUGGUGGAUCCGUCUAUAGUGGUGGGGAUUGUUGGAUCGGUGGUAGUGUGUGGUUUGUUGGUCAUGGUUGGUGGUUUCAGAUGGUGUGAUUAUGCAGGAGGCGGCGAGGUGGUGGUGGUGGUUACCUAAGACUAGUGUGAUCUUAAAAUUCGAUAAUUGUGACCAACAAAUUUGAAACAUGUAACUGAUAGAUAAUCUGUGACUUAUAAUUUUUUCAUCUAUGAUUAAUAAAAAAAAUUAUGACCUAUAAAUAUGUUUUUUUUUUUACCUUGGAAUAAUCUGUGAUUUACAAAUUUUUUUAUUUGUGAUCUCAAAGAAAUUUAUGACCAAUUAAUUUGAUGAUAUAUGACCAGUAAAUAAUUUUUUUGAUUUAUAAUUGUGGAUAUGUGACAAUUAAUUGUGUAAUUGUGACUUUUAUUAUAUUUAAUUAUUAAAUAUUUUUAAUUAAUUAGAUAAAAAACGUGAUUUUUGCAUAAUUAAACUUAACCACCUAAUUUUUGAAGUGUACAUACUUAAAACCUGGUUUGUGAAUUUUUCCCUAAAAAUUAUCCAACAUCGUUUUAAUAUUAUCAUCCAAAUUUAUUGGAUAUCAAAACCUAACAAUUGUCAUGUUUGAAACACACUAUAUGAAAUAAUGUUCAAUAGAUAAAAUUUAAGUUACUUUUCUUUUUAGUAUUGUUUAAUAAUGUGCAAUUCCCUUACCAAACAAGCACCAUAUAGUUUCCCCACUUAAACAUAUAUUCAUCAUAGUUAACAUGUAUUACACGUAUUUUUCAAUUCUUUUAAACAAAAAUUUGAUGACAAUUGUAUAUGAAAAAUUGAGACUUGAAGAUAACUCGAUACUCCGACGGGUGGACAAGGAAUUUAAAGAGAACGUCAUUGAUGCCUCUAGUUUGACCAUUGAUUUCUUUGAAUUGCCUUCUAUAAAAUGUGUAGAAGCACAUAAUUAUUUACAAGUUCUGCCAAAUAUGAAUCUUUUUCGCGCGGGUAGUUACUAACAAUUAAAAAGGGAUCAGACAAUUGUGUAAGGAACAAAUAUCUUGAAACAAAGUCCCAAAAAAGGGUGUUUUAUUAGCGAUGACUUUACAAUAGGAACUAAACAGAAUACCUCCAAAGGGCGCAAGCACACGAGUACUAAAAAGAAAUGUUUAAGUUUAAAUUAAGAAAUUGAAAUUACAUAUUCUCUGUUUGAAAGUGUUUGAUUCGGGGUCAUUUGCUCUAUGUCUUCUCUUCCUUUUAUAUUCCCUUAAUCAUUUUUUCGUGAUCAACCGCUUAGAAAUUGUUUGAUUGUUUUAUAACUACCCACUUCCUUUAUGGUGGCUAUCGUGUCGUGGAACUGCCGUCUUUAACUACUGCCACUACUUUUUGUCGUUCAAUCGUCUUCAACUGAACUCCUUGAAUCGUGGAACGUGAGGAGGUUACUUGAUAACUGCUUCAAUAACUGCACUUCUGGAUAACCAUAACAUCUUAUGUUUGCUAAGAUCUUGGGUGACUCGAAAGUUUGGGCGAGAACAGGGUCAUAGCUCUGGGCAACUGUAAGGCACUUCAUUCGCUCAGAUCUUGAGCGAUGGUGUUACCGUGUCCGUGGGCCUCCACUGCAUUCAUUAGUAACCAUAUUUGGGCCUUCAUCCUGAAUUUUCCAGUUGGGCUUCAUUCUUUGGGUUAUUUGAUUUGGGGAUUCCUUAAUUGGGCUUCAUUUCUUGGGUUAUUCGAUUUGGGUUGCACUUUUAGUGUGUCAACAAUUACCCCCCAAUAUGACAGAAUUAAUACCAAUUAUUAAUUUUUGCCAUAUUCACUUUGUGUUUCCCAGCAAUAUUUGAAAUUUCUAAGAAUUUUAAUCAUUAUCUUCUUCCAUAGCCUGAAAAUGCACGACGUUGCAAACCCUUAUAACCCCCAAAUACAUGCCAUUUCAUCGCACCACUAAAUCACGUCUCAUUGUUUCGCACUUCUCUCUCGCAAUAUUACUGUUCAUCUUCUUGCUUCUCUGCUACGUUUCUCAAACAAAUUUCAACAAAACUUUAUUUCGUUCCCAAUGACUGCAUCACAAACCUAAUCUGGUGACUCUUUCAGUUUUGAAGACUUCCAGAAAAUCCUCACUCGGCCAUAUAUAACUCCGAACUUCCUUGCACCAGCCAAUGCCGAACUCAAUGAGUUAUAUCUAAGUUCUUCAUUCAACAACGCUGAGGUCGUCGAACAAGUGGCGGUGGGCCAGCUAUUCUCUUGUACUCAAGGCCCUUCGUUUCUGAACUCUUUGCCGCUGAGGCCACUGAGCGAAAGAGGUAUUCGCACUUGGCCUAAAUCUGAUGUUAUUUUCCGUAGAUAGCAUGCUCGCCUUGUGGGCCAUGGUCCUACCAAGGUAAUUUUUAAUAGUGUUAGGAUUUCUAAUUUAUUAGAAAUCUCUCUUCAACCCCCUAUUUUUGAUCUAGCGCUUUUCCCUAUUGCUUUAAAUUUUUGGUCCUCUGAGUAUAAUACUUUUAUUUUCCCUCUUGAUCCCUUGUCCAUUACUCUAAGGGAUAUUGGGGCCCUAGUAAAUCUGCCACCUGUGGGCGAUACCAUUUUCCCUGGUAUUUUGAUUUCUAGUGUCGCCCCAAAAUUUGACAGAAAACUCACCAAGUCCUAUUCAAGCCUGCAAAGCUGUUAUAAUCACUCGAGCGUUGAGCUUUCCCAUGCAGAGCGUGUGGCCUUUCUUUAGAUUUGGCUUUGUAAAAUAUAUUAUGUGUGUACCAAGCAUGAAGCCUUCUAUGAGCUAUUUACCCAUAGCGCACGAAUUGGCGCGUGGUAGGCCUCUGAAUUUGUAUUCUUUCUUUUUGGCUGCCCUCUAUAGAGGCAUGGCUUCUCUUCAAUUCCAAUUGAAGAAUGGUGCAUCUGCCAUUGGCAGUGGGCCUCUUUGGUUCACUCAAAUGUGGUUGAGAGCCUAUUUUUCAUCACUUGGUUCUCUAUCCUUGUCCCUUCAUUCUGCUAGCUGCUAUAGGCUAGCUAUUGACCCACUGAGCCCUGUAAAUAUAUCUAGAAGGGACAUCUUUUCAUUCUUUUAUACUUUGAAUUCAAUUCCUUCUUUCUUUCCUUUUCCUCCCCCUUUAACUCCAGAUUAUGUGCAACCCCUAUCCACCCUGGACAGUGCAAGCACCUCUCUGCUCAUUUCGGUUCAGUUUUUGAUCGAGAGGGAGUUGUUCCAUGAUAUUUUGACUGGAACCAAUGCCAAAGCUGGGGUUGAAAUAUAUGUUCCCCAAUUUUUGCUCGUCAACUUGGUUUUGGCCAAACUUGACAUGUUUCCCCUUGUUAUUCAAGAAAUUUGAUAGAUCGCUUCCACACCAUUAAUAAGGCAGAGGCAGAAGCUAUAGAUGCUCGCAAUAUUCUUUUGACGAGUAACUUUUCAUUAGCCCCCUUCAAUCCUAGCCGUGCCAUCCAUCCCUUUUUUGAACGACUCUGGCCAUUAGUGAAGCGCAGAUUGUUUGCAACUGAUGCCAAUCGUGCUUUCCAUUCACUGGAUCAGCCAAACAUUUCUUCCACUUCUCCUGUUCUGGUCACCCCUGUGUCCAUUAGGAGUCCUUCCUCCCCUGCUCGUACUAAACAGUCUGUUCGUCCAUCUACUUCUCUUCUUACCAAGCCCACUGCAGCCAAGAGUGCCCCAAGCCGCAAACGGUCAGCCUUAACAUCUCCCAUUUUGGAGGAUAAUGAUAAUGAUGAUGACACUCCUCUCAUCGUUAGGAGAAAGGUAAUUAAAUUAGUUUACUCACAAGCAUACCUUUCUAUAUUUGAAACUUUUCUAUGUGCUGAUGGUUUAUUUGGAUUUCUCAGAAAAGUUCAGCCUCUCCUUUGAAGGCUUUGGUGUUGACAGCUCCUGCUCUAUCAUCCUCUGCUGAGGCUGCUUCAUCUAAACCAGCUGAUGAAGGGACUACGCUUAAAGAGAAACCUUCAGUCCCGAAAUCCUCAUCACAACCAAUGGAUGAGCCACCUUCUUCCCAGGGCGUCAACCCCCCAAACGUUGAACCAAAAGACAAUACAUUUUUUGAUGUUUUACCUUUGCUUGUGCUAUUGGUUUUUGAUUUGUUGCUUUUUGAGUUCUGCAGAUGCUCCCAUGGGUUUGCCCGUUGUGGAAAAGUCUUCUCGCCCAGACAAGGGGAAGUCCUCACAAGUGGUGGAGCCACAGGUGGUAGAUUUGGCUGGGGAUAUGCCACCUUCCAAGAUUACUGAUGAGGUAAUCUUUGUUUCACUUUUACUUCCACUUUGUUUAUUGUAGUGAAAACCUUCAAUGUUGGCAAUUUUCCUUACAGGAUGCUAAUAAGAUUGUGCGUUCUAUCCAGGACUUGUUCACUUCUUGGGGGCAAGUAAAGACGUCUUGCCCUGCUUCAACCGGUCGUCCUUCUGCUUCUUCAGAGGAAGAUAUGAAGUUCCUCAAGCAGUCGAUAUUUGAGUAUGUGUCCUUUAUGGAUAUGGACAUCGGUCAGGCUAGUGCUGCCAAACAUAAGGAUAAGCUUGAGCAUUUGAGUGAGAAGUUGGCGCAAGCACUGACACUUUCGUCGCUCAAUCUUUCUGCUAAUUUUAAAGCGAUGUCGAAAGUUGUCCAUUCCGAGGUUCUCUCCUUGCUGGCCAAAAAUGUUGAAAUGAAGGCCAAUAAUACUCAAUAUCUUCGCGUUGUAUUUGAAAGAGAGUCUUUGCUUCUGGAGAUCAACAAAGCUGAGGACGAAUUGAAAGAAAUCUCUUCCGAAGUUACGAUUGAAGACUCUUCAAUGACCAGUUUGGCUGUACAGAUGAAAGAGCUUCAAGCAAGGAUGGACGACUGCAAGGCUAGAAUGGCUGCUUAAAAAUGUAAUGUCUCCCAAAGAAUUGAGCGAACCAAGUCUUUGGUCGAGUAGUACAAGAAGUUGGAAGUUUAUGAUGAUUCUGUAGCUGAAUUGGAUAUCACUUCUUCUCGGUAGAGCGAAGAUUGGGGGAGACUUAGGGAAAGAAUUCGUUCGGUCUGGGCCGAAUUGUAAUUAAGACAUAUAACGCCUUAACUUUUCUUUUUGUAAAUUCGUAUUAACUUUCCCCUUUUAACCUCGUACUGAUGUCCAUUGGUAAUUCUGAACGUACCAGUAGCCAAUAUCAUUAAUGAACGAUUAAUUUGUCUUCUUGUGUAUUUAUUGACGUCGUCUUUAAUCGUCAACCCCCAAGCAUUUAACUGCUUUAUGCUAAAAUUCACGCAUUUUCUCUUAGUAUUUCUAUCUCUUUUCCCAAGACUUCGGGCCAUUUAAUUCCAAUUACUAGGCACGAAUUUGGCUGUUCAUAUUCUGUCUCUUCACCUUCACGCCCCUAUAAAUGCACUUAUAUUCCACACUUGUUAUUUUCAUUUCCAUUCUCUUCUUCAAAAUCAAUUUGCUGCCAUUGUUUGGCAUUUUGACAAUCGAUCCAAAACCUUCGUCUUCCAUGAAAAUGGAUCAUUUGAUCUGCCCAUUUUGCCAUCUUUUUUUAUGUCACCUUUGGUAUGGGAAAUAUAGGAAAUAUUCUUUGGCCAGCGAAGUUCUUCCCAUCAUCUUCAUGUUCCUUACAAGGAGUUCGAUGAUGUAAGACAAUUUUUGAGGAUGCUUGCAAGCCACCUUGCUUGCUAGAGUGCUUCUCAGCCUCCUUGUCCAUUAUUGCAGCGAUGCAUUUAAGAAGGCGAUGUGAGGGUGUUUCUUCUUCCCUUCUGCUUGCUGAUAGUGCUUCUCGGCCUCUCUGCUUGCCUUUGCAGCAGUGCGAUCAGGAUAGCAAUCAAGGCCAGUUCACCCUCUUGCUUGGCGAUCGACCUAGAAAUUAGUUUGCUCUCAAUUGUAACUUAUAAAGCAUUUAAUAUUUUGUAUUUUGCAACUUUGUAAUGAACGUUUGAUAACAAAGGAAUUUAUUUGAGCGUAUUUCGCUCUGGCCCUUUUUUAUUUACGAUCGUUCAACGCGAUUUGAUUACGCUUUUAUUUGUUCACUUUUCCAUAAGGAAGGAACAUAUUUUUUCAAAUAUCUGCCAUUAAUGAACCUCAUGUGCUUGGUGCCAUCUAAAUCUUCCAAAUGAUAGGCUCUAUUAGGCAACACACUAUUUACUUUAUAUGGUCCUUCCCAAUUGGGCGACCACUUGCCAUACUUUGGAUCUUUGCUAUCCAAAGGGAGUAUUGUUUUCCAAACCAAUUUGCCCAAGUUGAACGACUUGACUAUAACUUUUUUAUUAUAAAACUUAGUCAUCCUUCGUUUUUGAACUUGCAAUCUAUCUAGGACGUUCAACUUUAAUUCGUCUAACUCCAAUAAGUUUUGAACUAGUGAUUCGGUAUACUCAUCAUCACUUAACUUAUGUUGCAAACACACUCUGAUCGAUUGCACGUUGAUUUCCAUAGGCAAAAUUGCCUUCUGUCCAUAAGUAAGUUGGAAAUGAGUAAUUUUGGUACUUGACCGAAGUGACGUCCUAUAAGCCCAUAAGGUCUUGUUAAGACAUUCGUGCCAAUUUUUGACAUUUUCAUCUAUCAUUUUUCUUAUAAUAUUUUUUAGAAUCUUAUUAGAAGAUUCUGCUUGUCCGUUAGAUUGAGCGUAAUAUGGUGUGGAGUUUACUGAUUUAACUCCAAACUCGCUCAAGAAUUCAUUCACUUGAUCUCCAUUUAAAGAAGUUUCGUUAUCUACCAUCAAAGUUUGUAGAAUUCCAAAUCUAUAAAUAAUAUGAUCACGGAUAAAUUCUAUGACAUUCUUUUGGAUGAUCUCCUUUAAAGGUAUCGCUUCUACCCAUUUAGUGAAAUAAUCAGUUGCAACUAUAACAAAUGUAUGUUGCUUGGACGAUGGGGGAUGAAUCUUCCAUAUCAGGUCUAUCGCCCAACCCUUAAACGACCAAGGUUUGAUAAUAGGUGCCAUCUCUCUUGCUGCCGUCCUUUGUAUUGGACCAUUCUUUUGGCAUGCUAGACAACUCUUUGCAUACUGAACGCAUGAUUUUCCCAUCUUUGGCCAAAAAUAUCCAUUCCUAAUAAUUAACCAUCUCAUCCUUUGGCCAGCUUGAUGAGCUCCACAUAUCCCUUCAUGCAGUUCAGCCAUGAUCGUUCUGACUUCUUGCAAACUUACACAUUUUAGCAAUAUACCAUCAAAACGUUUCUUAAACAACUCUUCAUCUAUCAGUGUAUAGUUUACCAAACGCAAUUUCAUUUUUUUACUAUUUCCUUUAUUAGGUUCUUUAAGGAACCUUUUAAUCUCUACCCUCCAAUCUAUCGCAUCUCCAUCUUAUAAGCAAUGAAUUUCAAUCGUUCUCGCCCUUCUUUGGACCACGGGCAAUAUUGUUCCAUACUCAUAAGUAGACUUCCAAUUUAAAACCUUCGAGUACCCUGAGGCCAUCUGGGCCAACUCAUUUGCAACGUCAUUAUAUAUCCUAUUAACGCAUUGAAGCUCUACUUGGUCGAAUUCUUCCAUCAACUCUUGGGCGAUUUCAUAUAGACUUAUAAUGGAAUCACUUUGACACUUAAAAUCACCAAUCAAUUUAUGAAUGACCAAUUGAGAAUCGCAUCUAACGAUCACAUUCUUUACUUUCAUAUCUAUCAUUAAUUCUAGGCCCACGAUUAAGGCUUUAUAUUCGGCUCGAUUGUUGGUGCACAUCCUAUCCAAAGUGAAUGAGAACUUGUAGCAAAUCCCUAAAGGAUUUAUCAAUGCUACUCCUAAUCCUGUACCUUUAGAGGUUUUUGACCCAUCAAAAUACAAAACCCAAGGUUUUACUUCGAAUGAAUUGAUUUCUAAUUCAAUUUCUUCAGGCAUAUCAAGGCAUGGAUGAUCGGCCAGAAAAUUAGCCAAAGCUUAUUUUUUAUUGCCUUUUGGGGUACAUAUUGUAUUUCGAAUUUUGAUAAUGCUAAUGUCCAAAGGCCUACCCUUUGGUGUAAAAUAGGACGAGAGAAUAUAUACUUAACCAAAUUUACUUUGAAAAUCAAAUAAACGGUUACGGGCCGUAAAUAAGCCCUUAAUGUUGUACAUGUGAAAUACAAUGCAAGACAUAAUUUUUCAAUGGUAGAGUAAUUACAUUCACAUUUUGUUAACCGUCUACUCAAGUAGUAAAUUGCCCUUUCUUCACCAAAUUGGUCUUCUUGCGCGACCAUUCCAGCUAUUGAUUCUUUUUCAGUUGAUACAUACACUUUCAUUGGCCGUCCUUGGAUUGAUGACACCAACACUGGUGGAUUUGAUAAAUAUGUCUUUAGGCUUUCGAAAGCCUUUUGAUGCUCUUCUUUCCAGACGAACUCGUCCUGAUUUUUCAACUUUAAAAGCGGUGAAAAAGCUUUAGUUCGCCCUGCACAGUUAGAAAUAAAGCGUCUUAAAAAGUUUACUUGGCCUAGAAACCUUUGCAAUUCUUUUUUGUUGUUAGGUGGUUUGACCUCUAAAAUUGUCUUCGCUUUAUUUUUAUCAAGUUCAAUCCCCCUUUUUUGUACUAAGAAACCAAGGAAGUUUCCUGCAUUAACACCAAAUGCACAUUUCAAGGGAUUCAAUUUUAGCUUAUAUUGUUUCAUUCGUUCAAAUGAACAUCUCAAUUGUUCAAAAUGAUCUUCUUUUUUAAUGAAUUUGACCACUAUAUCAUCUACAUACACCUCGACAAACUUGCCUAUCAUAUCAUGAAAAAUCAGGUUCAUCGCCCUUUGAUAAGUUGCUCCUGCAUUUUUCAGGUCGAAAGGCAUAACUACCCAUUCAAAACAUCAUAGAGACCUAGGGCAUCUAAAGGCAAUUUUGUGUAUAUCUUCCUUAACUAUAUAAAUUUGAUUGUAUCCUGAAUACCCAUCCAUGAAGGAAUACAUUACGUGUCCGACAGUUGAGUCUACUAGAGAGCCUACUGUGGACAUUGGAUAUCCAUCUUUGGGUGUGGCUAUGUUUAAAUUCUUAAAGUCUAUGUACACCCUUAAUUUACCAUUCUUUUUUAGCAUUGGCACGAUAUUGGACAACCAAUUCACAUAUCUGGUUGUUCUAAUAAAGCUUGCCUUUAAUAAUCGCUCUAUUUCUUUCUUGAUCUCAGGAAGUACAUUAGGAGUAAAACGCCUAGAAGGUUGCUUAUGAGACUUAAAAUUUAGCUUGGUUGGCAAUCUAUGUUCCACCAAAUCUCUAUCUAAACCAGGCAUAUGUUCAUAUUCCCAAGCAAAACAAUCUUUAUAUUCCUAUAAUAAAGCGAUUAAUUAUCACUAACCUCUUGAUCGAGCAUUUGGCUGAUGAAUAUUGAGCGAUCUUCUCCUUCAUUGCCAAUAUUCACUUUAAUCAGAGGGUCUUGUGCUUGAGCGUAUCUAGGCUUGGCGAUCUUCAUCACUUCAUCGUCCAAUUCCCUUGUAAGCACUUCUUCUUCUAAACAAUCCACUUUGUUGACUUCUCGGCCAAUAUUUUGUUCCAACUCGAACACUGUCAAUUUGUCUCUCAAUGCUUUCAAGGCUGCUUCUUCUUUCGUCUUGUCCUUACAUUCUUUACUGAAAGCCAUUAAUUUCGCUUUGAAGGCCUGAAUAUCGACCAUUUGCCUUUGUUGCUUACAACUCAUUUAAAACUCUUUGAUUACCCUUUUGCCAAUUACUGGCUCUUCUAGGGCCACUAUGUUUGGCCUCAUCUGACUGAACAUUUCAUUGGGUGCAUCCAUCGAAAACGGCUCCUCACUCUGCGCGACAAUUUGAGUUUCUUCUCCAUCUUGGACUACUCUGACAGGUCCAUAAUUUCCUUCAUACAUGAACAUUUCUACUGAGUUUGCUUCUGCGACAAAAGGUCUAUGAUCGGCCUACACCACUUCUGCUUCGCCUUUGUCAUUCCAAAAAACCAGGCAUUGAUAGAGCGAUGAAGGUAUACAGCAACUUUCGUGUAUCCAAUCCCUUCCUAAUAACACAUUGUAACUAGUAGGACCAUCUAUUACAAAGAAGACUGUGGUCCUAGUAGUUGUUCCUAUAGUUAUGUCCAAUGGCAUAACCCCUUUAGCUGAAGUUGCUCCUCCAUUGAAACUCGUAAGGACGACUUCUGUUGGGAUCAUAUCGCUUUCUGUCUUUGCAAAUUUUCUCAUCAUUCUAGAUGGGAUGGUGUUUAUAGCUGCUCCAUUAACGACAAGCACUUUUGCCACAGGUACGCCGUUAACUAGAGCUUUAACGUACAAUGGCCUCAAGUGUUUAGUUAACUUCAUGGCUGGUCGCUUAAAAAUAACCUUUACGGCAGCAUCUAUUUCCACUUCCUGCUUGUCCUCUGUUGAGUUAUCCUUUUGUGAUAAGUCAACGUGCAGCAUGUCACACUGAGCUUUCAUUUCCUGAAUUUUCUUUUUACUGUUUUCUACUGCUUCUUCUUUGGUUACCCAACCUGUGGGAGGAGGCAUUAUUCUUGGAGGUGAUCCAUAUUUUUCAGAGCGAGGAACUCUCUUUUUCUUUUUGGACGUCCCGUACAGCACGUAAUAAUCGAAAGAACGCGCAGACGGUUUCCCUAACAGGUCCACUUCACGAACCCCCUCUCAAUGUAGUUGCUUCAACAGAGUAUUCUACGAUACUCCUCUUUUUCUUCUUUCUGCUUCCAAAUCAAUUUCCUCUUCGAUAUCCAUCAUACCAUCAUCUCCUUCAUCAUCGUAGGCCCCUCUAGAAGUUUAGCCUUCUUCAUAUUCUAGCACGCACGCUUCGUCUUCGUUAUCCUCCCCCUCUUCUUCUUCUUUCUCUUUAUUCUUGAAUUCAUUGGCCAGCAAAUAGUUAUUAGCCAUGACAGGAGGUAACGUAUCGAACUGAAUAGUAAGGAACUGAUCUGGAUCUUCUCCAUCUCUUCUGUCUCGCUCAAACUUCGACCUCACAGAAGAAUUUUCUGGCAAUUCUUUCAUCGAUUCGCCUGUACCGGUCUCCUCACUGUCUUCGAGAAUAUUUUGAUUGGCCACCUCGAGUAGCUUAGGCGCCUUAGGACGUGGUACUCCCUGUUGUUGCCUCAUCAUUCGUCCAUAGUUUCGUUGAAAACACCUUUGUUGGGUUCUAGUCAUCUCGUUGAAGGGUAUCGUUCUUCCUGCAUUAUACUGAAACGAAUGCCAUACAUUUGGUUGGCGAGGCUGCGACCUAAAUGUUCUUCCAUUAUUCACUGACCUGAACUGCCUCUCAAAAGGCGAUCCCCUAUAGAACGAUGUACCUCACCCUCCACCAGGCUAAGCGUUUGGGAAAAAACUAGGGCGACGGUGAUGCUGCUAUAUUCUUGUUUUUCUGUAUUCCCACUCACUUCUCUUUUACAUCUUGCACAUAGGACGUCUUCAUCCUUUUCAGACUCUUUCCCUUUGAUACGUUCAAAGACACUGGGAUGUGGUCCAGGGUCCUCUUCCCCGUCAUCUAUAACUAACUUGAAUUUUGACAACUUUUUUUUAAACCAGUCGUCACCAUGUUCACACCAAGUGGCUGUGGAAAAGGGUUUUCAUCCACUGUCAUCUUUCUCUUAUCCUUGAACGUAAUUCAUCCUGAUUCAAUGACAUCCUGUAACACAUGGCGAAAAACCAAACAGUUAUUAGUUAAAUGUGACCAUGCAUUCUGCCACUUACAAUAUUUUUUACCCUUAACUUGUUCAAGGCUUGGCAAUUUAUGUUUAUCGCUCAACUUUAUCUGCUUAUCCUUAUAUAGUUUAUCAAAUAUAAGGUCAGCUUUGGUUACAUCGAACGAGAACGUUCUAACCUUUUUGUUUUCAUCUUUUAUAGGCUCAUCUUUACCCGACGGUCUAGGCUUAGCCAUUAUAGGACAAGUAUACGUGUCUCUUUUGAUUAAUCCGGCCAAACACAUUUCGAUUUGAUCGUAAUACUCAUCAUUAAUGGUAUGAACAUCAAAAUUUGGGUCUCUAUAAUAAGUCCUCUUGCUAGAAUUUUUCAUUUGCUCUUCUUCUCUUAUUAAUCAUUCAUACAUAAUCACGUUCGCGCUCAAUUGAAAAAGAUCAGGAAAUUCCUUGUCUUGGAACUUUUUUUUCAAAUCAAAGUUUAGACAACCUUGAGCGAUUUUGACAAACUCCUUUUCGGGUAAAGGUACAAAACAUUUACUUCUUGCUGUCUUGAACCAUUGAAGGAAACCUUCUGCCUAUUCGUUUGGCAUUUGACGUAGAUUCGUCAAAUCGGUCAAAGUAACUUCGGACUCAGUCUUAUAAAACUGAGCGUGGAACAAUUGCUCCAAUUGUUGCCAUGUUUGAACAGAGUUCGUUGGCAAAUUGAUGAACCAGGAGAAAUCUACUCUUGUUAAUGAACUAGGGAACAACUUCAUUUUAUAGUAAUCAGUUACGUCACCACUUUGUAGUGUGAAUCGCCCUAUGUGUUUUAGAGUAGACACCUCUCCUAAGCCGGUAAAUAGUGAGAAUUCUGGCAUUUUAUACCCUCUAGGCCAUGGAUAUGCUUGGUCUACCUAAUCAGGAUAUGACUUUGUGUAAGUCGACCUAGUGACGGGAUGUACCCCAAAAGCCAUUUGAUCCUGUACUAUUUCCAUAAUUUGAUUCCUCAACAUGACGUUGGGGUCAUAUGGAAUUCCUACAGGUUGGUUGACCGGUUGAUUUGCUUGAUUGCCUGAUAUUUAGUCCUUGGUUGGUAACAAAGUUGCCAUGAUUUGGGUCAUUGUUACCAUUAGCCUGAAUAUUUAUUCCAUCAUUAACACGUGGGGUAUUCUGUCCAUUAUUUAGGACAUUGUCUCUUACGUUUAGGUUACCCCCGAAGUUAGAUGUACCAUUGCCAUUAUUCUGAUUUGGCAUUACACCAUCCCCCUGGUUUGAAGUAGAAGGACCAAAAGGUGGUUCUCCCCUUUGAUUUGGACUUAGGACUGGGGGAUUAUGUCCCACAAUUAUCCUAGCUUGGAAGUGAUUUGCAAGGGGCACAACUGGCUGACAAAUUUGGCCUACUAACUUAUUCAUUAUUUCAUUCAAAGUAUUCAAUUGUUUGGCCAUGUUGUCAUAAUGUGCAUUCCCAUUCUGAGUAAAUCUUUCCAUAUUAUGAAUAUUUCGUAGAUUUAUCUGUUCAACGACUUCCUGUGUGAGUUCUCCAAGUAAUGCACGCAUAGUUCGAAGACUCAAAUCUGUCAUUGGUUCGUAACGACUAUGGCUGCUUUGAUUCUAUCCAUCUGUUCGUGGAGAGCUAUGCUGCUCCUUAUAUCGCUCGAUCACAGACUAGACUCCUCCUUGACUUGCUUCCUUUUUAGAUUUUUGAGGCAUAUUGUUUCACCUUUUGUAUCUUCAACACCAAACACCACUGUCCCACCGGACGUGCCAAAUUGUUUCGCGCGGGUAGUCGCUAACAAUUAAAAAGGGAUCAGACGAUUGUGUAAGGAACAAACCUCUUGAAAAAAGUUUCAAAAAGGGGUGUUUUAUUGGCGAUGACUUUACAAUUGGAACUAAACAGAAUGCCUCCAAGGGGCGCAAGCACACGAGUACUAAAAAGAAAUGUUUAAGUCUAAACUAAGAAAUUGAAAUUACAUAUUCUCUAUUUAAGAGUGUUUGAUUCGGAGUCAUUUGUUCUAUGUUUUCUCUUCCUUUUAUAUUCCCUUGAUAAUUUCUUCGUGAUCAACCGCUUAGAAAUUGCUUGAUUGUUUUAUAACUACCCACUUCCUUUAUGGUGGCUAUCGUGUCGUGGAACUGCCGUCUUUAACUCUUGCCACUACUUUUUAUCGUUCAAUCGUCUUCAACUGAACUCCUUGAAUCGUGGAACGUGAUGAGGUUACUUGAUAACUGCUUCAAUAACUGCACUUCUGGAUAACCAUAACAUCUUAUGUUUGCUAAGAUCCUGGGCGAUUCAAAGGUUUGGGCGAGAACGGGAUCAUAGCUCUGGGCAACUGUAAGGCACUUCAUUCGCUCAGAUCAUAAGCGAUGAUGUUACCGUGUUCGUGAGUCUCCACUGCAUUCAUUAGUAACUCUAUUUGGGCCUUCAUCCUGAAUUUCCUAGUUGGGCUUCAUUCUUUAGGUUAUUUGACUUGGGGAUUCCUUAAUUAGGUUUCAUUCCUUGGAUUAUUCAAUUUGGGCUGCACUUUUAUUGUGUCAACAGAAUCUAACAUACUUCAAAUAUUUGACGAUUAUUAAAUACUUUUCCUUAAUGUAUGCAUUUGUGUGUCUAGUACAUAAAUAAUUUGCUAUAUGAAUCUAAUUAUUUAAAACACAUGUAUCACUAUAAUACAAUAGAUGAAUAUCUUCUAAAUUAUCCAAAUAUAUGAAUGUAAGUUGCAUUUUAUUUAUUUUCCAACAAAAUUAGUUCAGUGAAUGUAUGGAUACUUUAAUCAAAACUAAAAAUGGCGCAAUUGAUUAGUUCUGGUAAAGCUUUUUGUAAGUGAGUGGUUAUUUUUCCACCUCAUUUUCUUUUCUUAUAAAUGCAUCACAUUUAAACUGCUUUAAGAGUGUGUUUGAUUGACAUGGAAAAUAUCACCUAGAAAAGAAAAUAUUUUCCAUCUUUUGUAGAAAAUAAAAACCACCUCUUUCCAAGGAAAAUAUUUUCCUUAAAAACAAGGAAAAUUAGGCAUAUUUUCAAAAGUUGGAAAAUGUUUUCCAUGGAAAAAAAUAGCAAUCAAACACUCCAAGUGAAAAUUUGGAUGGAAAACUGAUAUUUUUCAUGGAAAAUAAAUGUAAUCAGACACACUCUAAGAGUUCUUAAUCUUUAUUCAUUGUUAGGUUUAAGUCCUUGGCCUUUUCUCCAUCAAAUUGUUAUUCUUAAUCUUUCAUUAAUAGACAUUUUUAUUCAUAUGCAUUAUGUGGUCAUGGGUAGAAGGAUUGAUAUCAUCUUUACUAUAGUUGACAGUCAACUCCUAUGCCUGGCUUCCUUCCUCACAGAAGACUUGCUACCGUUGCCUUGAAUAAAAGUCAUUUCUCUGUCUCUAAUGACGUACGUUUUCGUCCAAAAGUGUGCACAUUUUUUUUUUUUUUUUGUUUACUUAAAAAUACGAAAAAUGAAUAGGUUCUUUACUCUCUCUUAAUAGAAUUUUUUGGAUAAAAAUGAAAAAUUGUCAUUAGUGACAAAAUGUGCUAAUUAAUAGGUCAGAGAUAAGAAUACUAGCCCCGUUUGGUACACAUUAAUGUAAAAAUGAGAAUAAAAAAUAUAGCCGUUACGGACCCCACAUAAGAGAUAGAAAGUAAAAAAUUGUGGCUUGAUGUGAUUAGGGAUAGCAAUAAAAUCCGUCCCGCCCCGAACGGGUUGGUGGGGCGGCGCGGGGCAUGGUGGGGCGGGGCAGGGCGAAGUGAAAAAAAAAAAAGAUUAAAAAUAAUUUUAUUUCUAAACAAUUCACCCGUUAAAAAUUAAUUUUGAAUUUGUAUUUCAUUCUCUAAUAAUAAUAUAAUUCGAAACUUUGAAAAUGUAAAAAAAAUAAAAAAAAAUUAAACGGGGCAAAAAGUUGCCCCGUCCCUAAUGGGACGGGGACGCCCUACUCCAAACUCGCCCGUUGCCAUCAUUAAAUGUGAUGGAUAAUGAUCAUAUUUUUUAUUUUAAUGGGAAGCAAACGGGGGCUAUAAAAAAGUUAGGAACAUAAAAUUGUUUGGAUCUUUAUUAAAAAGUUAAUAAAAAGGCUUUAUUAAAUAUAUAGUUUGGAUCUUCUUUCUGGAAAGGUAUUCUUCAAUAAAAUUGUAUUAUUUGGCGGUAUAUAUAUCAAACUUAUGCAUAUCCUUUUCUUUUCUUUUCCUUUCCUGGAGCCCAUUAAUUAUUCUCUUAAUCUCCAUAGGGCAUUCUCAAUGGCUAGAAAACAAGAAUCUUGUUAUUGAAAACUUGAUCUUUUUGGGAGAAAAUCAAACCAAAGCAUCAUUUGUAUAAUCACAUUUGGAUCUUAAUCAUGAUCAAAUCAUAAGAAGCAUCCCAUAUACUCUACCAACUUGCUUACUAAAAUGGAAUGGGAUAAUAUCGGAGUAAAAGAAUUUUCAAAAUUAUUAUUAUUAUUAUUAUUAUUAUUAUUAUUAUUAUUAUUAUUAUUAUUAUUAUUUAUUUUUUUUAAUUUUUUUUACAUCACUGCAACAAUAAAGUCACCAAUAUGGAACAUGUCGGCAAUUGUCAGUGAACCUUCAUAUGAUUUUCUAUUCAGGUGCAAGUAAACUAUUUCAUCUGGUCCAUCUCCUCGAACAAUAUUCGGCUUGAUGUGUUAAGCAUAUAAGUAUAUAACUACCAUUUCUUCAGAAUAUGAUCGAAAUCUUCGUUUUAGAAAAUACGAAUUUUAUUUAAUUCAGUAGAGUCAACAUUGGGGCUACACAAAAAAUUGCGAACUCAAACUGAAGUCGUUGGUUCAAGUCCACGUGAACUCAUGAUUUUUUUUUUUUUUCCCUCAAACCAAACUAAAUCAUUUAAAAAUAGAUUAUUUUAGAUUUUAAGUCGUUUCAAAAUAGAUUAUUUUAGAUUUUGAUUUUCAAAAAAAAGGCACAAAGCCAAACAAAAUCGUUUUUUAAGUUUUUUUAAUUCAAAAAUUAAUUUUAUUAACUUGCAAAUUUUACUCAAAAAAAAAAUCAUAAAAAAAUCAACAACACACGUCAUAAUCCUAUAUCUAAACCAAACUAAAAUUAUUCUCAGAUAAUAUGCAAUGAAAAAAGGGCAUAUAUUUUUAACAAUCCAAAUCAUAAUUCAACAAAACUACUACCGUAAGUCAUGCCCAAAGCUUCAGAAACCUUAACCUAAACUCUCAUUUCUUAAACAUUUUACGCUUGUCUACUACUGCUGAACGAAAUGCAAUUCCCCAUCGCAAAUCGUUAAGUCGCUUUUUGAAUUUUUUUCANNNNNNNNNNNNNNNNNNNNNNNNNNNNNNNNNNNNNNNNNNNNNNNNNNNNNNNNNNNNNNNNNNNNNNNNNNNNNNNNNNNNNNNNNNNNNNNNNNNNNNNNNNNNNNNNNNNNNNNNNNNNNNNNNNNNNNNNNNNNNNNNNNNNNNNNNNNNNNNNNNNNNNNNNNNNNNNNNNNNNNNNNNNNNNNNNNNNNNNNNNNNNNNNNNNNNNNNNNNNNNNNNNNNNNNNNNNNNNNNNNNNNNNNNNNNNNNNNNNNNNNNNNNNNNNNNNNNNNNNNNNNNNNNNNNNNNNNNNNNNNNNNNNNNNNNNNNNNNNNNNNNNNNNNNNNNNNNNNNNNNNNNNNNNNNNNNNNNNNNNNNNNNNNNNNNNNNNNNNNNNNNNNNNNNNNNNNNNNNNNNNNNNNNNNNNNNNNNNNNNNNNNNNNNNNNNNNNNNNNNNNNNNNNNNNNNNNNNNNNNNNNNNNNNNNNNNNNNNNNNNNNNNNNNNNNNNNNNNNNNNNNNNNNNNNNNNNNNNNNNNNNNNNNNNNNNNNNNNNNNNNNNNNNNNNNNNNNNNNNNNNNNNNNNNNNNNNNNNNNNNNNNNNNNNNNNNNNNNNNNNNNNNNNNNNNNNNNNNNNNNNNNNNNNNNNNNNNNNNNNNNNNNNNNNNNNNNNNNNNNNNNNNNNNNNNNNNNNNNNNNNNNNNNNNNNNNNNNNNNNNNNNNNNNNNNNNNNNNNNNNNNNNNNNNNNNNNNNNNNNNNNNNNNNNNNNNNNNNNNNNNNNNNNNNNNNNNNNNNNNNNNNNNNNNNNNNNNNNNNNNNNNNNNNNNNNNNNNNNNNNNNNNNNNNNNNNNNNNNNNNNNNNNNNNNNNNNNNNNNNNNNNNNNNNNNNNNNNNNNNNNNNNNNNNNNNNNNNNNNNNNNNNNNNNNNNNNNNNNNNNNNNNNNNNNNNNNNNNNNNNNNNNNNNNNNNNNNNNNNNNNNNNNNNNNNNNNNNNNNNNNNNNNNNNNNNNNNNNNNNNNNNNNNNNNNNNNNNNNNNNNNNNNNNNNNNNNNNNNNNNNNNNNNNNNNNNNNNNNNNNNNNNNNNNNNNNNNNNNNNNNNNNNNNNNNNNNNNNNNNNNNNNNNNNNNNNNNNNNNNNNNNNNNNNNNNNNNNNNNNNNNNNNNNNNNNNNNNNNNNNNNNNNNNNNNNNNNNNNNNNNNNNNNNNNNNNNNNNNNNNNNNNNNNNNNNNNNNNNNNNNNNNNNNNNNNNNNNNNNNNNNNNNNNNNNNNNNNNNNNNNNNNNNNNNNNNNNNNNNNNNNNNNNNNNNNNNNNNNNNNNNNNNNNNNNNNNNNNNNNNNNNNNNNNNNNNNNNNNNNNNNNNNNNNNNNNNNNNNNNNNNNNNNNNNNNNNNNNNNNNNNNNNNNNNNNNNNNNNNNNNNNNNNNNNNNNNNNNNNNNNNNNNNNNNNNNNNNNNNNNNNNNNNNNNNNNNNNNNNNNNNNNNNNNNNNNNNNNNNNNNNNNNNNNNNNNNNNNNNNNNNNNNNNNNNNNNNNNNNNNNNNNNNNNNNNNNNNNNNNNNNNNNNNNNNNNNNNNNNNNNNNNNNNNNNNNNNNNNNNNNNNNNNNNNNNNNNNNNNNNNNNNNNNNNNNNNNNNNNNNNNNNNNNNNNNNNNNNNNNNNNNNNNNNNNNNNNNNNNNNNNNNNNNNNNNNNNNNNNNAAAAAAAAAAGAUUAAAAAUAAUUUUAUUUCUAAACAAUUCACCCGUUAAAAAUUAAUUUUGAAUUUGUAUUUCAUUCUCUAAUAAUAAUAUAAUUCGAAACUUUGAAAAUGUAAAAAAAAUAAAAAAAAAUUAAACGGGGCAAAAAGUUGCCCCGUCCCUGCCCCAUUAGAUGGGGCGGGGACGCCCUACUCCAAACUGGCCCGUUGCCAUCAUUAAAUGUGAUGGAUAAUGAUCAUAUUUUUUAUUUUAAUGGGAAGCAAACGGGGCUAUAAAAAAGUUAGGAACAUAAAAUUGUUUGGAUCUUUAUUAAAAAGUUAAUAAAAAGGCUUUAUUAAAUAUAUAGUUUGGAUCUUCUUUCUGGAAAGGUAUUCUUCAAUAAAAUUGUAUUAUUUGGCGGUAUAUAUAUCAAACUUAUGCAUAUCCUUUUCUUUUCUUUUCCUUUCCUGGAGCCCAUUAAUUAUUCUCUUAAUCUCCAUAGGGCAUUCUCAAUGGCUAGAAAACAAGAAUCUUGUUAUUGAAAACUUGAUCUUUUUGGGAGAAAAUCAAACCAAAGCAUCAUUUGUAUAAUCACAUUUGGAUCUUAAUCAUGAUCAAAUCAUAAGAAGCAUCCCAUAUACUCUACCAACUUGCUUACUAAAAUGGAAUGGGAUAAUAUCGGAGUAAAAGAAUUUUCAAAAUUAUUAUUAUUAUUAUUAUUAUUAUUAUUAUUAUUAUUAUUAUUAUUAUUAUUAUUUAUUUUUUAAUUUUUUUUACAUCACUGCAACAAUAAAGUCACCAAUAUGGAACAUGUCGGCAAUUGUCAGUGAACCUUCAUAUGAUUUUCUAUUCAGGUGCAAGUAAACUAUUUUUAUUAUUAUUAUUAUUAUUAUUAUUAUUAUUAUUAUUAUUAUUAUUAUUAUUAUUAUUAUUAUUAUUAUUAUUAUUAUUAUUAUUAUUAUUAUUAUUAUUAUUAUUAUUAUUAUUAUUAUUAUUAUUAUUAUUAUUAUUAUUAUUAUUAUUAUUAUUAUUAUUAUUAUUAUUAUUAUUAUUAUUAUUAUUAUUAUUAUUAUUAUUAUUAUUAUUAUUAUUAUUAUUAUUAUUAUUAUUAUUAUUUAUUUUUUAAUUUUUUUUACAUCACUGCAACAAUAAAGUCACCAAUAUGGAACAUGUCGGCAAUUGUCAGUGAACCUUCAUAUGAUUUUCUAUUCAGGUGCAAGUAAACUAUUUCAUCUGGUCCAUCUCCUCGAACAAUAUUCGGCUUGAUGUGUUAAGCAUAUAAGUAUAUAACUACCAUUUCUUCAGAAUAUGAUCGAAAUCUUCGUUUUAGAAAAUACGAAUUUUAUUUAAUUCAGUAGAGUCAACAUUGGGGCUACACAAAAAAUUGCGAACUCAAACUGAAGUCGUUGGUUCAAGUCCACGUGAACUCAUGAUUUUUUUUUUUUUUCCCUCAAACCAAACUAAGUCGUUUCAAAAUAGAUUAUUUUAGAUUUUGAUUUUCAAAAAAAAGGCACAAAGCCAAACAAAAUCGUUUUUUAAGUUUUUUUAAUUCAAAAAUUAAUUUUAUUAACUUGCAAAUUUUACUCAAAAAAAAAAUCAUAAAAAAAUCAACAACACACGUCAUAAUCCUAUAUCUAAACCAAACUAAAAUUAUUCUCAGAUAAUAUGCAAUGAAAAAAGGGCAUAUAUUUUCAACAAUCCAAAUCAUAAUUCAACAAAACUACUACCGUAAGUCAUGCCCAAAGCUUCAGGAACCUUAACCUAAACUCUCAUUUCUCAAACAUUUUACGCUUGUCUACCACUGCUGAACGAAAUGCGAUUCCCAAUCGCAAAUCAUUAAGUCGCUUUUUGAAUUUUUUUCAUACCUGAGUCGCCUCUUUCUCAAUAAGUCUCAUAUUUUUAUUCAAGUCAUUUUUAUAUUGUUUUUUUCUUUUAUUUGUCGUUUUUGUACUUAUUAUACACUUGUCAAUUAUGGUUUGGAUAGAAUAAAUGAAUGUUUAUGUGUUUAGGUGAUUAAUGAAUUUAUUUAUGGUUUGAAAAGAAUGAAGGACGGAGCAUAUUGAUUAAGUGAAAAUAUUAAAGUUCCCUAAUUAAUACUUCCUUCUAGUUUCUUGAAGUAAUUAGAGAAUGAAAUUCGUCAAUUUCCAAGAAGCCUGAACUAUGUCAAUCUUUAUAUAUCGAAACAUACAAUGUCCAGUCCUUAUUUUUCAUCUCGCUAGCAAGAUGAAAUGAGUUUUAACCAAACUAUAAUAAUAUAAUACGACUUUGCCUUGACCAACCGUUAUAUAACAAUAUGGAAGGUGAACAAGAAACGGUAAAUUAAAAGCAAGAAAGAUUUGUUCGUUCUAUCUUUUAGCAACCAGUUUUGAAAAUAAUUUUUCACAGGUUUCAUGAGAAAUGUGAAUGUAAUUUAACAUUUAACAUCAUUAUUUCUCGUUUAAACUUAUAUAUUAACUUGUUUUUAAAUAUAUUACUAUAAUUUUAAUGGAUAAAUUGCGGAAUAAAAUCAAACCAAACGGCAAAUUAUGGUUUAGCUUGGUUCGAAAAAUAAAAUGAUUUAGUUUGGUUUGAAAAAAAUUUCAAAUCGUAUGAAAUAGUUUGAGUUGAAAAUAUGACACAAACUAUCCGAACGAAAUCACGUUCACCUCUAAUCAACACAAUAGAGUUCCUUGUUAGUAACCCUAGAGCAUAGAUUCUGCCUAAUAGUAUGUUCCAAAUAUGAUAAUAAUUACUUGAAAAGAGCCUAUCCUAAAGAUCAAAUCACAUGACCCACAACCAUUUUGUCAUAUUCAUGCUUUUACAUUUCAAAAUUUUUAUAGAUUAUCUUGACGUGAAAGAAUUGUCUCAAUUCCCGUUACUAACUUUUCUAAAAAAGAUGUGCACGUGGGUAUGUUUGGUCACAAUACGUGUGAACCAAAAAAGUAUCCUUGAGAAUCCUCAGAAUAUCUUCAACCUUUCACAUGCAAAUUUCCUAAUGACAGUAAAUGCUAUUACCAUCAAAGGAAACAAGAAAGCCAAUAGUAAUGUUGAGGAUCAGAAGAAUUAUAGCUCGAUAGUACUAAUUUGCAUAAGUGCACUCGAAAACUAACAUAAACUCAUCAAAUUGUUUUACAAGAAUUACAUAUUCGCUCGACUUAUAAGUAUAAAUUUCUAACUUGAUUAAUCAUCAAACUUUCCCCAUCGAGUUUUCCGCACCCCUCACAAGUAUAGCCAGAAAUUAGACGAGUGUAUCACCAUCCCAAGAUUCAAUUAGUAUUCUUUUAGCAUCAACUUUAAAAAAAAAAAAAAAUGCAGAAUUGAAUUUUGUAGCUCUUCCAUGAACUAUAAAUGUAGACUUGACUUAUAUGUAUUACAUACAACAUCUAUCUUCCAUACAUAUAAUAUCUAUGCAGAUAAAUAUGUUUAUAUCCAAGCCAAAUAUGAACAAAAAAUAUAUCAUAUAAUAAAGAUUUUGAUCAUCAAACCUUUUCAUGGGGAAUUCAAUUUAUCUUCCAUUGCUAUGGACUUUUUGCAAUGAGCAAUUGCAGCUUGAAUUGCUGCCUGCAAUUCUUCCAUGGUGCUGUCACUAGUACUAGUUGGAGUAAGACUGCCAGUAGCCACUAAAAGACCACUAUUUGUUGGAGAUGUCCUCAUUGAAGCCGGCGCCGAAAAUUCACCUCUCUUUCCUCUCAAUUCUUUCUUGUUUUUAAACAUUAAAUUCCCCGAGAGUGAAUAAGGCUGCCUCCCAAAUUCAGUAUUUCCUCUUCUGUUUCUGAAUAAAAACAAUGGCCUAACCAUUCUCAGGUACCUUUUCACCACAUGACUUAGCUCGAACUUCAAUUUAGUCGUCUUCUUCUCUUCUUUUUCUCUAUUUUCACAACCUUUUCGCCAUUUUGGUAGACCAAAUAAAGAGAAAGACUUCGACUUUUCUCUCCCUUUUGCUUCGAAUCCAAUGCUUUGAUCAAAGUUGUGGUGAUCAAUCCUCUCAUCUUCUUUGCUUAGUUCUUUUAUGGGUAGCGUAAAUCUAUCCAUCGAAUUGGUGGAAGAGCGAGGAGAGACAGGAAGGUUGGAAAGGAGAUGAAGAGGAAGUAAAUGGCCAUGAAAGAAUAUAUCAUCUGCUGGAGAUAAAUCUACAGCAAAUGAAGGAAGGGUUGAUUUAUUUUUACCAGGUGGGAUUUUCGCGGUGGAUGGAUGGACAGAAAUGGAGAAGGAGAAUUCGGGAGAUGAAGAAGCUGAAGGUGGUGAGGCUGCUGCUGCUGCACAUGGCUCUGGAUGCUGCUUCUCUUCAUCUUUCUCUCUUAUCUUCUGAUUUUGUCUUUCCAUGACUUUGUGUCAAAAGAUUUA
rnacentral:lncRNA from 1 species